UAUUAUCAUAUUUUUUUUGUUCCUCGUUAUUUUGCGAACUAUAUUUAUAUUUAUGAAAAUUAAGAAUUUUCAAAUCUAAACCCUAAUUUUGGUACCGGGUCAAAUUAAAAAGGGCCGAAAGAAAACUUAGCCCAAUCAAUCUUGCAAAGUCCAACAACAUAAGCCCAAUGUUUUAACUAAAAAAAAGAAAAGAAAAGAAAAAAGGAAACCCUAGCUUCCACAAUUCUUUCAACUUCUUCCUCAACUCUCACGUCUCUGCCUUUCACAAACCUCUGAUCUUCAUUCUCCACGGUGUAAUCUUUCUCUUCGUUCAUGUCGCCACGAUCUAUAUGGAAGGGCGGUUUUGUUGAUGCAUUCCUGUCGAAAAUGAAGAAGAAUGUAGAACCACUUAUGAACAAGAAAAUUUGGUCACGUGGAUCUAUGAUUCUGCCGGAAUUCGUUGGUAGCACCGUACGAGUCUACAAUGGAAAAAAUUUUAUUCGUUGUAAGAUCACUGAAGAAAGGGUUGGCCAUAAAUUUGGAGAGUUUGCUAUGACACGGAAACGAAAAAUUGCGAGAUCAAAUAGUGCACCGGUAAAAAGAGGGGGGAAAAAGUAAAGUUGAAGCGCAUAUGCCAUUUCGUAUUCACCUUUUCUUUCUUAUUCUCAAUUCAAGGUCAGUAAAAUCAGUCUGGUGCUGUCAUUGUAGUUGUUUUUUUCUAUUUUGCGCCACAGACUGUCACUGUUUUCGUUUGAUAUCGCCACAGCUGUUGUUGGUUUCUGUAUGAUUCUGGAUUUCAAAUUCUGAAUGACUCUGUUCUACCAUGGUUAGAUAGAACUAUCUAGAGAUAUUGUAUUCUGAAAUGAUAAUGACGUUCAUGUUACAAGAUAGCCUUUUUUUUAAAAAAAUUGUUGUUAAUACAAUAAAUUUUCCUCGUUAAUUCAUUCAUAUACUUGAACUUUUCAUCAUUUUUCGUUUCUUCAAACCUAUAUCUUUAAAUUUUUAACAAAAUUCUGAAAAUACAAGUUAUUUAAAAACUACGUGUUUUGGUAUUCACAAACUGUACAUAGUUUCUAUAAACGUAUACCCAAACGAAGGUAAAAAUCAGAAACAAAAAAUGAAAUGGUUAUUGAGAGAACCAUAAUUUUAUAACAGAAUUUCUUUUUCAAGUUCAACAAAGUAAAGGGUGAUGCUCCUCUUCACUCUAACUAUAAGUAAACAUAUGCUAAUUGAAAGACCCUUCUUCAACAAUGCACAAACAAAUUUGUAGUCAUUUGAGCAAAGAAGAAUACUUGAGGCAUUUGGGACUAUAGUCAUUGAAGACUAUGAUAACAACCUAUUAGUACAAUAAAAACACUAUUAUUUACUAUUUAUUAUAGUUUUUACCCUUUUACAUUUGUAUUGUGUACCGUUUUCAUCAAAUACAUACUCGCGAACUAUUGUAAACAACACUCACUCCUUCCCUUGAUGAAGUGUCCCAUUUCGAUCAAUGUUCGACACACAUAUAUUAAAAAAAGUAAAUUUCUAUUUUAAAUUUUUUUAACACUAGGGUACUUGGCUUGAACUUUGUUCUCUCGCUCACUGAGAACACCGAUUUCUUUCUCAAAGGUGAUGACCGCCUCGUUCUUGCUCAUUUUGGCAUAGCUCUGCUCGCAUUCUUAUUGGUGAAUAUGGGGUAUGGGAUAUGAUGGGUCGGUGCCAUUGUAGGGCAUCAGUCAUCGAGGUGUAAAGCUCCAUUGGCUCCGGGGGAAAUUGAUCAGAAUGAGGAACGGUAGCUUCAGUUGAAAUGGUGAAUUCAACCACUUUUCAUAUUCAUCCUCAAUCGAAUGGGGAGAAAAAGCAAAGGAUUGUGGAAGUGUCCGUUUGGAAUAAUUUGACUUUAUAACCCUGAAUAAAGUAUUUUAAAUCACAAAACUUAAAAAGAAAAAGUAAAAUGUCACAACAUACUAAAGAUGAAUAGAGAUACGAUGUAGAUGCAUAUAGUAGUCUAUUUUGAUCCACUCUUAUAUUUUAUAAAUAUCUUGUUUUAUUUUACUAUAUUUGAAAAUAACCUUUAAAAUUAAACACAAAAAAUGUGUUAUUCACGUCAUUAUGAAAAAAUUUCAGUUGUUAUUUCUGACUGCCAACAAAAAUUGUCUAGUAAUUUCAUCUUUAUAUUCCAUAGAGUAUUAUUUUAUUUUAGUCCAAGUGCGAAAUUUGAUCUUUAUACUUCAAAUUCGUCUAGUUGGUAUUUUGUGAAAUUUGAUCUUUAUACUUUAAAUUCGUCUCCAGUUGGUAUUUUGUGAAAUUUGAUCUUUAUGCUUUAAAUUCGUCUCCAGUUGGUAUUUUGUUUUGGAGUCUUGAUCUAGAUUCUGGGUUGGAGCGUUACAAAUAAAAGAAACUUUGUCAGUAUGAUUUGGUUCAAAACAAACUAAAACAUAAGUAUACACGUGACUCUCAAGAAUGGACAAGAACAACAUCCAUAUGAAUGAGAAGGGAUAUUGAUAAGAUCGUGCAAGUAUGAUUAAAAUAAAAGCGAAUCAACAUUUACUGCCUUACUGUUAAAUAAUCAUAUAAACUAAAUAAUUAAACGUGUUUAGUUUAACAAUUAUGUGUUUGUGAUCUUUAUAGAGAAUUUCUGUAAUAUGUAAAUGAGAAAAAAGCACAUUGAUCCCCCAUAUAACCACUUCCAACCAUCUAAACACACAACAAGAACACCACGAGAGAUGGAAAGUGGUACUUUUUUUUAUAGCUAAAAGUACAGAGACUACGUAUCGUUCAAUAAAUAGAGGAGAUCAAAAGUUUAAUUCUGAAAUGGUUAAAAGCAACAAAUAAAAUUAAGAAUAAUAAGAAGAAAAAAAACCCAUCAGAUUGAAGCAAGUAUCUUGCGUCUGCAAAAAUCAUUUGCAAGGAAGACAGACAAAUUUCAAUUUUGAAUAUCAAUUCUGAAGAAUUGGUGUGAACAAAAUGCUUCUUAAGCAAUGCUAAAUCUAAUCUAUUCCUCUCACAAAUUAUGAUUUUGCAACAAAACUAACACCGUAAAGCAUUUCAUUCAGUAGGCACACGAUUUCCUUUGUUGUUCUGAAUGAUAGUACAAUGAAUCCUAACUAGAAGAAGGCUCCCAUAGUUCCAAGGAUGCUUGCAUCAGCCGGAAUAUUGUGGUACAAAACUUCUUUGUUUAACAAGCUCAUGGAGAUCAUGAACAAUCUUAAAUACAGCAUCAGGUCUAGCAAGCCUCAAGGCAUUCUGUGACAUGAUCAGCAACUCAUCUGCUUUUGGCCCAAACCAUUUUGCUACAAUGUUCGCUAUCUCUUUAGGAGAUUUUGAAAACUUCCCACAUCCGUUUUCGACGACAUAUGGCACAUUUCCAGCUUCCUGAAAGCAGAAAGUAGUAAUUCGGUAACGAAUGUGACACUGACUGUGAUGGGAAAAGUAACCUGGACUCUUUGACAACUUCAUCUAGUGCUAUAGCAACUAUGAUGUGUGUGACCAAUGUAAUGAAUGGAGCAACCAAAUCACAAUUCAUUAAUUUAAACUUGUAGAAUAUUAAUCUAAACUAGACCAGGAAACAUUUCUUUCAUUGUACGAUAAACUCAAAGUCACAAGAAAUGUUUGCAUUGACUUUGCCUCCACAUGAAAGAAAUUUGGACUCCAAAACCAAGAAAAAUUAAUUGAGCUAUCCAAAUCCUCAGAAUAGGAGCUUAUAAUAUAAGCUAACUAGAAUAAUGGAAAAUUUCACAGGAUAAAUAAGGAAAAUUAAAAAGCCAUGCAGUUACGAAUGACCUGCCAAUGUACAGAACUUUCAAGAAUUCAAUAAGAAAAUGACCUGUCCAGCAAUGUAGUCAUUCAGAAUUAUAGGAAGACCUCUUAUCAUGGCUUCAGCAAUCGUUCCAGGGCCCGCCUGCAGUGGUAAAUCCGUUAGUUGAUAGCCACAUUCACCGUGAAAAUAAAAUCCAUUCAGAAAUUACCUUUGUUAUAAUGCAAUCACAAGCUCCCAUGCAUUCCUCCAUUUUUGUGACAAACCCCUUCACCUACAACAUUAGAGAGAAUUUUGUGUAAUGGAAUGUCCACCAAUUUAGGCAUGGAUGCCCCUCUGACCAAGCAUCUAGGUAGUAGUAACUAUAGUGUUCAUCUAUCCUUGAAACUACCAAUGACAGUUUUUUAAAAUUUGUCUGCACCAAAAAUGAUAAAGCAUAUAACACGCAGCUGACUUUGGCCAAUCAAAGUUUAGAUAUCCCCAUAUUGGAGCAUUAGCGCAUCCAUUUUCUAGCUCAUCAACACUUCACUAACCAUAGAAGAAAUAAUCAAAAUCAGCUCCUGUAAAGUAGCUAAGUUCUCUUUUCAGGGUUACCAGACUUAAUGGUUAAUGUAAUAUAUAAAAGGGCCUUUUUAUUCAAGUAAAAGACCAUCGCCUUUUAGGUCAUUGAAAGUAGGAUAGUAUAUGUGUAACCUAAUGCAUGAGUUCAAAUUCCCAUGUUCUACCAAUCCUUUGAAGUAAGAUCCUCAAUGGCUUAAAGGAAGUCAAAAGCAACCAAAGUCAAAAAGUGGGUCAAACUCACAUAGAAGUUGAGUGAGUAUUAUGGAUUCAAUCGAUGAAUCCGUAGCUUCUAUUGUUUCAUAUUUUAAGCAUUUGCUGGAAACAUAUGCAGACUUGACAUUGAUAUGCAGACUUGAUAACAGGCAGAGUUGAUAACAGGCAGACUUGAUAACAGGCAGAAGUCAAAAUUGCGAUCCAAGCAUAAAUGAGGAUUUUAGACUGAUGAAUACCUGGACAGGAACCUUCCAAUCAAUUGAACGCAACCUGCCAGCUAGUUUUUUGUUGUGGCCACAGAUCACAAGAACUUGGCCUAUUGGCUCUCCAUGAUUUUCAUCAUACAAUGCCUUACUUAGCGCCUUUGCAGUAGCCUCAAUGGGACCCAUGCCUUCCCCCCCUCCCAUAAGCAACACGGCAGGAAGAUUUUCAUCCAUGCCCAAUUCUUUUCUUAACUCAAUCUGUGGUCAUUGAAAACGAAGUGAGCUUUAAUUCAAAAUUUAGACCAGAAUUCUGUUCAACAUUAAAUAACAUAAAUGAUUUUAAGUUACAGUGAAUGAAAUGUUUCCCAAGUAAAAAAGUUAUUGCAAAUUUCCAUUGUCCACUUGGGUUUGCAGAAAAAUAUACAAGGUUCCUAUUCUGCAACCUUGAGGAUCUAAAGAGUUAAACAUCUAGUGUGCAGUUCUGAAAUCUUUAUGGAAGUUAUGGUACAAAAGAAAAAGAAAAAAAGAAAAAGAAAAAAAGAAAAAAAGAAAAGCAGCAUCAUCGAUCAAAAACAAUUCACAAGGUAAGACAGAGUGGGGUAUCAAAUGCAAACGGGACGGAUAAUACUGAGUCGUAUCAAAUGCAAACAAACAAUUCUCGAAUCAGUAGUCUACCUUCGGACGAAUAGGCUUAACAAAGGAAGGCCGCACAGGAAGGCCAAAAACCUUUAGUUUGGAAGGCUGGAGUCCAGCUUUCAAAGCCCUCUUUGCUACCUCCGUAGAUGGGCAGUAGCAUCUUGUAACAAGCUUGUGAAACCUGAACAAAAUAUUAAGAUAGUGAAAACUAUGCUGUGAAUAAACAGUCAACAUACAUAACAAAAAAGAAUGACAAACCAUGUUGGGUGGCAGGUGCUCAAAUCUGUGACUACUGUGGUGAAAACAAUCUUAUUCAAGAGGCCCUUCGACCUCAAAAUACGAAUGGGAACAUGCUGCAUCAGAGGAUGAACACUGAUAAUAAUAUCUGGCCUAUAUUUCAUCAGUCCUUUUGCUACUUCUCUGGUAGAUGAUGAUGAAUUAGAAAAAUAUCAUGAAAUGAAACAACUCAAUAGAAUCAAAAUGCCAAUCAAGGAAAAUAGUCAGAAAAUUGAGCAGUCUUUCUAUCUUUAAGCUCUUCAGACGAUCAUAAGGGAAUCUUAAGGCAACUACCAGUGAUAGUGAAAGAAAAACUCACCGAGCUAUGAAUGUUGAAGUUGCAGCAAAAUUUGACUGAUGAAUCACUUUUGGAGCAGUCACAUAGUAAGUCAUCUUCCACAAUGUGCCAUGUUUCACCAAGAAGUUGUAGCUUCUUGGUAAUUGAUUGAAAGGCCAAGGAGUGUGGUCCGUCCACAAAUCAGUUAUAAACACCUGCAAUCAUUCAUAUUAUAUUACAAAUAAAGUAAUGUCAACACUAUCACAGAUCCACAAAAACCAAAUACAUAGUAUACUUUUCUUAAACCUCCAAUGGAUCAGUGAGAAAUUGAAUGUCACAGGUAUGAAAUUCUAAACGAGCAUUUCAGGUACGUUAAUUCGUUUAGUAAAAAUUUGACUUCUAACCAUCAACCCAGCAAAACUAACCUGAUAAUUGUUCCCAAAUUCUUCAUUAAAGGCUGCCUUGAUUGCCUCAGCAGAAGCCCGAUGACCUCCACCAGUGUCACUCAUUAAAAUAAGAACCCGUUUGGGGUUCUCAGCCUCGAUUUUAUUCAAUGGCAGUGCCCCAUCUUGCGAAACACCAAAUCCAUCGUCUCUAAUCCCAUUGGUUUCAUCUGAAACACCACCUAACGAAGCAAACCCAAGAGGGGGUUUGUGACAAUGAAACUUUAUAACAUUAUUGAACUCGUUCACAAAUCUCCUUAAGCUCGAGCUACCUCUUGAACUCAAGCUCAACGAAGCACCAGACCUGGGUGGCCUUUUUACACAACGAUAAUUUUCAAACCCGUUCAAAUAAAGAGAGUGUGACGACGAACCAGAACACCCUUCUGAAUUCAAGUUAAGAAACCUUGAACUAAACGCAAAAUAACCCAGUUGAGAAAUGAAAUCGGAAACAGAACCAUUUUCUUGAACUACAGUCGAUGGAUUACGCAUGUUUCUUUUGCAGCUAAGUAAGAUACAUGGAGAUCAACGAAAUGGGUGUUCUACAAAACCAAAAAUGGGACGAUUCCACACAAAUAAACAAGAAAGAAAGAGGGUCGUUGAAGUUGAUUGAAUUAGAAUGGAGAAACGAAAAAGAGAGAUGUUGAAGUUGAAUGAGAGGGACCUUCUGGCUUCUGAAACUGGUUCUUCCACAGCCACAAGGAGAGGAUGUAGUGAAUGAAAUAUGGCGCUUGAGGAUGUGUCCUUUUAUUCCUUUCCAGCUCCGCGUCAAAAUGUCGCUUAGUUUUUCACAGCUCCAUAGCCCAAAAUUCAACCGUAUAUUCCAUUGGAAAUGGAAAUUGAUACCUAAACACCAUCGGAUAGGGAUAGGACCCUCCCAACUGUAAUGGAUUUACACUAGUCAUCUCCAAGUCCACCGGCCAUCGCCAAUUCUCUUUGGAAAAUCAACGAAAUUAAAUUACUUUUUGGGCGUGUUCUUGAUUUCUCCAAAUACCCCAUUUUACCCGACAGUCAAAUUUAUCCAAGUUUUCACUUUUUUUUUUCUCUCUUUCUAAAAUCUAUUCGUCUAUAAAGAACAUAAACAACGUUUUGAAUUCAACCGGAAACCAUUAGUAAAAAAUAAAAAGAAAAAGAAAAAAAGUUGUUUUUCUCUUUUGCCAUUUAACUUUGUAUAUAAUGACUUUCAAUUUGAAUGUUUUAAAUUUAAAAAACGAUUAGAAAAUAUUUACAAAUAUAGUCUAAACUCUUUAUCAAUUUAUCGACAUCUAUAAGGUAUCUUUCACUAAUAUUUGUACUCAUCAUAAUAUACUUAAAAACAACUCAAUUUUUAAACUAGUUUGUUCAACUUUUAAAACUUUAACUUGAUAUUAAAAACUUACUUAAAACGAAUGUGAUGAAAACUAUAAUGUGUUUAAAAAGGAAAUAAGAAAUAGUAUAUGUUUGAAAGCGUGUUGUGAAAAUAUGGUAAAAGAACAAAACUUUCAUUCAGUAAGCGAUAAAAAUGAGUCUUUUCAAAUAUAAACAAAAUAAACGGAUAGAUUAUGAAAUUAUGAAAAUAUUUUUAACCUUGUUUUUAAUAAUCUUUUCGAUAAAAAUCUUUUAGAUACAAAAUUAAAAUAUUAAUUUCACACCCUACCACCAAAGAAGAAUAAGAAUAAGAAAAUGAUUGAAGAUGAAAGUUAAAAGUCCAUAAUCCCAAUUCCCACGUUUUUAUGCGUUGGGAUUUUAAUGAACAUUGAUGACUACCCUCAUUUUAUUGGCCUAACUUGUUCCCAUUUACAUUCCAUAUAUUUAAUUCUUACUAACUUUAGAUUAUAGGGAAAAAAGGUUUUCUAUUUUCUAAAUUUACGAUUGUUUUUUAUCUCCAAAAUUUUAGUUAGUACGUUAAUAAACACUAAAAUUACUGCACCAAUUAUAAAACACAAAUAUAAUAUUUUUAAUUAAGUUUCCAAUACAAUAAUAAUUUUCUUUAGUUAUGUUUUGAUAUAUUUAAAAAUGUUUAUUUUUAAAUAUGAAGAUGAGAGUUAUUGCUAUUGUUACUAUUUUCGUUCUUAACCUAUUUUAAUCAUAUGUUAACUUUAAUAUGACUCUGGUUAUCAACUAAGUGAUUAAUUAUCGUAGUAUGUUUUUUUAUUAUUAUUUUAAUAUGAUUACACAAAAUCUUUUCGAAACACUUAGUUAAUUAUUUAAAAUAUUUGAAAUCGUAAUUUUCAUACCAAUAAAUUUUUUUUAUAUAUUUUUAAGUAAAUUUAGAAGUGAUAUUAUUUUUUUAAUUUUUCUAAAACCAAAUUACUAUAAAAAAAAAUAUAUGUUCAAAGAGGAAAAGUAAUUUGAUGGGAUUGUGGAAAGUUUGGCGAAUGAGAGGAGAAAAAAAUGCACGUGAUUUGCUUAAUUUCAAGUAAUGUUGAAAUAGGAAAAAUGUGCAGCCCAUGUGGUACAUAUGAAUCUUUCAUAUGAUACCCUUCAAAUCUCACCGUCCAAAACCUGAUUGCCCACUGAGGUGACCCUUCAAUUUUUUUUUUAACUUAAGUUCAUGCAUUCACUCAUCCGUCAUUAAAAUGAACACAAUCUUAAUAAGAAUCUCAAUUACAAAUAAAUUAAAUAUUUGACGGUUUUUAAAUAGGUUGAUACAAUUGUAGUUAAAGGAAAAUAAAGUUUUAAAGCAGAUUUGAAAUUGAUUUAACAUCAAAUUUGAAUAUUAAACAUGUAUGAUAUAAUCAAGGUUUAUGACUGAAUCAAAACAAUAAUAAUAAAAAUUUAUAAAGUAGCCUAAAUAGUAAGAAUUGUAUGGGAUUCUGAUUUAUGGUGUUUGUUUAAAACAAAUGGAUGACUAAAAUGUAAGGGCUAAGAAGUAAUUUUAAACUUUCAAAUUUUCAAAAUAAUGAUCUAACCAAAGGCAAAUGGUCAACUUUCAAAAUAUAGGAAAGUUAAAAUAUUAACGUCUUGAGUGGUCUAAUCUUCCUUAAUGGCUAUUGUUGUAAUUGCAAGAUUGACCUUUUUUUCUUCUUUGUGAACAAAUUGCAACUAUAACACUGUUAAAACAUGUUAUUUUGUUCCUCUUGAACCUGUUAACACUUAACAUGCAUAGUUAGAGGCUUUGAACACCUUUUUAUUCAUAAAUAAUAGUCUUCUUAUUUCUAUAGUUUGUAAAUUGCUUUCUUCCACUGUUUACAAAAUCAUAUCAUUUUUAUAAAAUUAGAGAGGUUUUUUUUUUUUUUUUUAAAGAAAUUUAGUUGAGCAUUGAAAUGUUUAAUUAGUUAGAAAAUAAUGAAACAAAUGUUCAGAAGUUAACAAUAUGUUAAUUUGAACUUAAAAAUUAUCACUGUUUUAAAUUCAUUUAUACAUAUUUUGAAAUUUUAUGAAUUUAAUAAAUGUAAACUUCAAAUAGGGAAGGUGAAUGGUGCAUUUUGUUGAAAGUUUUUAUAUAACAAGAUGUACAUUGACAUAUAUGAACAAUGUAAUAAUAUAUCAGUAAAAUACUAUUUAACAUCAACCAACUAGAUAUCUUAGUUGAUUAAAAUAUUUUUCUAUGACAUGUAUGUAUAUGUGUAAGUUGAUAAAUAUGGUUUAGAGUUUGAUCGUUGCUAUAUUUGUCCUGGUUAAAGUUAACAAUAAUUCUAAUAAAUAAAUAGUACAUUGGACUAUAGGUGUUCACAGUUUGGUUCGAUUCGAUUUGAAAAUGAAACCUUGCUGAAGUGUAAAAUGCAAAAACUUCGAUUCAGUUUUAAAUUACCUCAUAUUAUAGAUGUCUGUGCCUACAACCUCUUACAUAGUCGUUUAGCUUUCUACAUAAUAGUUUAUUCUCUUAAUGUUUGCUUCGAUUUUAGAAUUGAGUUAAUAUCACCCAACUAAAUCGUAAAGAAGUAGUUUCAAUUUAAACUAAACAUGAAACGCCGUCGAACUGCACACAUUCGAUUUGUGAUUCGGUUUGAUUUUUUGAACAGCUACAUUGGGCCGCGUAGCAUUGGGCUUUGAUAGUAAGCGGCCCAACACGAUCCAGAAACGAGGUUGAUUCAAUCAAGCGCAAUGAAUCGAGCGCAGGUUCGAACCAUGACAGUGCGAUUUUUCCUAUAACGCCGGUUUCUUCAUCUCCGUCACUCACAUAGAAGAUCAUACAAUCUCAGGAUAGGGGGCAAUGGCGAGCGACGAAGAGAGAGCUCUAGAGCACCAGCUGGAGGUUCAAUUGUACGAGCAGAAAGAGUCUCUCGCCGCCUUACAAGAUGCCCUAGCCUCCGACCCGUCCAAUUCGGAGCUUCUCGAGGUACAUUAUUUUCUCCGGCCAAAUGAAUUUCCUUUUGUGUUUUGGAGAAAGUUCUUCCGAGGAAUGCGUGAACCGGGUUUUUGUUUAUCAAUGAAUUCGAUUUUUUUAUUUUAGAAGUUUUGGAGACCUCUGCCUGUUGAUUUUUCUGAAUAUAAUCUGUUUGAUAUGUCAAGGUUCACGAGGAGCUCGUUCAAGCAAUUAAAGAUGCCGAGGAAGGGCUGCUUCACCUUAAGCGUUCUAGGUUAUUACGAGAAGCAGAUACGGUGUUACGUGGUCAUGAUAGUAACGCAGCGGAGGAUGUUAAGGUGGAGCCUCUUGAUGCUACGGAUAUCAAACCUGAACCUCUUGAAGAUCAUAGUUUCUUUGUUGGAUCGAAAUGUAGAUUCCGGUACACUGAUGGACGUUGGUAUGACGGUGAAAUUGUUGGAUUGGAUGGUUCUAAUUCUGCGAAAAUCUCUUUUCUCACUCCCACAACUGAAAAUAUGUUGGUAUGCACUCUGGGACUUUAUAUAUCGGAUUUUGCGGAACUGUUAGCAUUAUUUGUUAUUAUAUUUCACUUGUAUUGUGUUCUGCGUAUUGCUUCUGUAUCGUUGUGGUUGUCUUUGAUUUUUUGAGGAAACUCGACUAAGCUUCUUCCCUUUAAUAGUCCGAGGAACAGUUUGCUGCCAUUAUCAAGUGUUAAUAGUGACUGGGGUUUUGAUUCCCCUAAACUUUUGAGCAAUCUAUGGUUUUUCUCACUUCACGAUACUAAUACUACAUACCACCACCAAAGUGCAGAUGUGCAAGUUCUUCUUACAGCAAAGAUGUCGGUUUGGCACUAACUGCCGUUUAUCGCAUGGUAUGUCAUAUUCUUUCAUGUCGACCAUGUAGAUCCAACAACUCAUGAAGUAAAAGCCUUCCUCUUGUUUCAGUGGUUGUUCCCACCAGCAAUACUAUCUUGAGAUGCUAGGAUGAAUUAUUAACACUAUUUAGUAAAGGAAUCUGUAGGACGAAUGAUGAACUUCCUGUUUCCGUCCAGGACUAAAAAUGUUUUCCUUCAUAAUAGUCAUGUGGAAAAAAAAUAUUCCAGUAUUGUUUGGUUCUUUUGUUCAUGGAUCUUUAAUUGUUUUCAUUCCUAACAGAAUAAUGGGAGUAAAUCUUAGAUUUUUUACAAUUCAUAAUUUGUUGUUCCCCUUGAGAUUAGUAGCCGAUUUGUUUCUAUUAAAAGAAGAAUGCACGAGGUAGUGGCGGACUAGAUACCCGUCCCCAAUCCUAAAACUAAAGAAAAUGGAGACUUCACUGAAGAAAAACUGUCAAGGAACUGUGAACUAAGCUAUUUCAUGAGAGAGAGCAAAGAGACUUUCAUGGAUUUCUCUAUCGUUCUAGUUUGUUUGAAAAUUCAAUUGCCCGCAUUAUGUAUUAGGUAGGUGUUGUUUGUGAACAUCAAACAUCUAGAACACCCCUUCAAUUCAGCUGUCUCUGUGUGUAAAUUCUUUGCAUGAUACGUUUUAUGACUGGUUUAUGAAAACAUAAGAUGGUAUUUUAUCUCUAUUCCAAUAAUGCCACGAUCAUGAAUUCCCUUCACGUUGCUUUAACGUUUCCAUUUUAUAUAAUUGAACUUACCCCAGUUUUUGGUUCACCUUUUCUGAGAAUGAUCCAUUUCUUUCUAUGGAAAACAAAAUGCAACAGCCAGGCUGCUAUUCUCAAUUAUAUAUUUUUCCUUCUAUACCAUAAAAUUCAAUGGCUAUGCUGCUAUUCUCUAUUAAGCUCAUCAAGCAAUUUAGAGUUUGAGGAAGAUAUAUUUUUACGUUCGUUUAUUCUUUUUCUAAUGCUAGGUUUUGUUCUUCUGUAUAAUAAUAUAAUGUAUAUCUCUACAGACAAUAGCUGUGCUGUUAUUCUCAAUAAGCUGACUGAGAGAGUUCUUCAUGCGCAGGAGUUGAUAUCCCUUUAACCUCUCUUAGGAGCUACGUGCCGACAAUUUGGAACCAGUCAAUGGCAGGAUCCAGUAUUUUGGCUCUCUCGUCUAGGAAUGACAUUUGGAGGCAUGCUGAACUUGAAUCUUGGGAUGAUGCACUUCAAGUUGCACAAGUUGUUUUCAAAGGUGAUGGAUAUUCUCAAAAGCUUGGACCGGAGGACAUAGCUUUAUCUGAGUAUGCUCUAAUUAAUGAUGAAGAGGAAAGUGAUUCCAGCUUGGAACAGUCCGACUCAAGUGAUUAUGAAGAAGAUGAUUUGCAGGGUUUGGGAUUUCUCGAAAGCUCUACCCAGCAGAAGGGCAUCCAGACUGAGACCACCAUAUUUGCUAAAUGGGAAAACCAUACCCGGGGGAUUGCUUCCAAGAUGAUGGCUAAUAUGGGGUAUCGUGAAGGGAUGGGUUUGGGUGCAUCUGGGCAGGGGAUGCUAAAUCCUAUUCCGGUCAAAGUUCUUCCAGCAAAGCAAUCUCUGGAUCAUGCUCUAGAGUCACAAAAGGAGAAUAAUACUAAUGACGAAAAUAAUGGUAAGAAACGAAGUAGAGGCGGUAAGAGGAAACGCGAGAAAAAGUUUGCUGCAGCGUCACGUGCAGCUAAAGAGGAAGAAGAGUCGAGACCCGAUGUCUUUAACCUAAUCAACCACCACCUUGCAAUGCACAAUAGAGCAUUGAAUGACGGAUCUGUGAAGAAACAGAAAGAUAAAGGUUCAGCAGAUUGGAAGAAAGUGGAUAGACGAACCAUAAUUGCGUAUGAUGACGAGGUGAAAGACCUGCGCAUACGAAUAGAGAAGCUUGAAGAAAUGGUGAAUAGAAAUAAGAAAGAGAAGGUUGUUUACGAGGCUGCCUUAAGAAAGCUGAAUGAGACCCGGAAAGCUUUGGCCGAAGCUGAGGCGGCUCAUGCGUCUGCAUCAAAUGCAGUUAACAGUAGAGAAAAGGAAAAAAGAUGGUUGAAAUUUUAGGAUCCGACUCGUUGUAUAAUGAUAGCUCCACCUGUAGAAGUUUCAUUUCAUUCUUCUGAAACCGAACACCACAGUGUGAAUUAGCGAGGCGAAUCGUGUCACUUGUAUUCCAUGAUGGCUGGCAAUUGGUGUAUUUUCAUCUAGGGAUCAAACUAUAAGAUUAUUCAACCUCCCUCCCCCAUCUAAUAUGAUUUUGUGGAAAUAUCAUAAUGUUAUUUGGAUUGUAUUUUUGGCAGAUACAAUCCAUUGAGUGGAGUCAUAUAAACAGGAACAACAACCCUAUUUAUUUCUUUUGCAGUUUAACAUGUUAUAGUCACUUUUGUUGAUUUUGUGAUAUGCAUACCUUUACCCUAGGGAGCAGCACAAUGGAGGGGGACAAAGAGAUACCCUAUAAUUUAUAUUCAAAGGGAGUUGGGGGCGUUUGACAACGGACAUAUAAUUGAUAUAUAAUUGAGGUGGAUGAAUAAGUUAUUCAACAUCCCAAUGUUCUGGUUUACCAACAAUUGAAAAGAUUUAUUAGCGUGUUUGUGCUAUUUUUUUAUUUUGUUAUAUGUGUUAAUUUAUAUUUCUUACUUCGUGUUAUUCACAUCAAUUCUCCUAAUCACUCUCUCAUACAAUAAUUAUCAAUUCAAUUUAACUUUGACUCUCAAACCCAAAAAGUAGUAAAAGAUUUGUUAAUUUAGAUUUUUUUUAAUAUGUAGUUUGUGUAGGACAUAUUAGAUCAUACAAUUAGAAGUUUGACUUAAACUACUUGAGUUUAAUUCACAUAAUAAAGGCUCGUAUUUACUCUCUUUAUAUUUGAAAUAUCAUGAACUUUAGAAUAGGUUUUACAUGGAUUUUAGUUUCGAAAAAAAGUAUAUAUUUUCAGUUUUGUUUCGAAAAGUACUCUCAUGAAAAUUGAUGUGGUUAUUGAUUUGUCAUAUUGAUGUCUAAAAAUUGGUUGUGCUAUCUUUUAUAUUUAUUUUGUUCAUAAUUGUUUGUGGAAUGCUGUUCAUAAAGAAAGAGAGUAAAAUAUACAACAUCGAAGUGGUGUAGGAUUUUAUACAAGGUUAGCACGAUGUUCGACAAAGGGUUUUAGAAAAUGAAGGGUUUAUCCCCGUAGUAAUUUUGGGUAUGAAUUGAUUCAUCACACCAAUUCUAAACGUUGCUUAAAUUCCAACGGUAGAUUCAGAAUCGUCUCUUGCCGGAAGGAGAAGACGGCGAAGAAGAAGCAACGGCAUCAUGAGGAUUGCAGUGGAAGGUUGCAUGCACGGUGACCUCGACAAUGUCUACAGAACUCUCCAAUACAUGGAGCAAGCUCAAAACAUUAAAAUCGACCUUCUGCUCUGCUGUGGCGACUUUCAGGUACUUCUUCACUCCUGCUUACAUCCUAUUUUUCCGUCUAUUUUUCCUAUUUUGAAGUAUCUACCCCCCGAUUUAGGCUGUUAGGAAUGAGAACGAUCUGAAGAGCUUAAAUGUGCCGCCCAAAUAUCGAUCAAUGAACUCGUUCUGGAAGUAUUACUCUGGAGCUGAAGUCGCUCCCUAUCCUACUAUUUUCAUUGGUGGGAAUCAUGAAGCCUCUAAUUAUCUGUGGGAAUUGUGAGUUACUUGAGCUUAGCUUGCGUUAUAUCUUAAAGGGUCUCCUCGAGUUCUUCGGUUGUUUGUGUUAUCGGUGUCUAGAGAUAUAAAUUUAUUUUGCGGUAAUUGAAAUUAUGAAAUAUAUUGAAUCGUCGUCGUGGAUUACCACUUGAUGUAUAGUUUUUAACUUUUCGAGUGCUUUGAGUAUUCGUGAAUUGGCUACUAAGUAAUCCCGGAGAGUUACCAGGUAUACGGAUGGUUGGUCGUUGGUUCUGUUGAACAAUAAUAUGAGUUCUUUUCAAAAUCAUUUUCAUGCCCUUAGUUUCAAUCGUUCCCGUGUCUUUUUUUUUUCCUCCUUUGCAUUUAAUUGUUUUUUCCUUCUUGUGGCACAUCAGUUAUAUGAUCUGAUUUUUAUUUUAGGUACUAUGGAGGUUGGGCUGCGCCUAAUAUAUACUUCUUAGGCGUUGCUGGUGUAGUCAAGUUUGGAAAUAUCCGUAUCGGUGGGCUAUCUGGGAUCUAUAAUGAACGCCAUUAUCAUUUAGGUGAGCGAACAACUUUCUAUCAGUUAUUUUAUAUAGACGUAAAAUAAUGUAAGGUAGUUAUCUGAGUUGAUUAGCAAUAGCAUUCAGUCAAGGUUUUCUUUUGUUCCUUUCUUCAUCUGCAUUAAUGGCCUUGAGUGAGAAUUGCUUAAAUAGUGCAUAGCUGCAUCAUCUAUAGAUAGGUUUGUUUUAGUGUGGGGCUUUUAUCGCUGAGUUCUUUUGAGGAGGCUCUCACAUUUUAUUAGCUUUUGAGGAAUCGGUCUUAUUGGUAAAGGUUUUGGAAGUGAAUCCAUUGGUGGGUAGCUUACUAACUCAUUAGUUUUAAAAAUAUAUGAAGUUGUGCCUACUGGGAGUAUGUUCAGCUUAUUUAGAAAAGUUGACAUUCAUAUGUACAGUUGCACUUUUCUAUCUUUGUGUUGCCUGUUCUUUUACUGCAAUAACUGCUUAACUAAAUGCAACAAAAUCUUCUUCCCAUGCAAUGAGCAGGUCACCAUGAGAGGCCUCCAUAUAAUGAGAAUACUAUAAGAUCUAUUUACCAUGUUCGUGAAUAUGAUGUUCAGAAGCUUAUGCAAGUUGAGGAACCCAUUGACAUUUUUCUUUCUCAUGAUUGGCCACUUGGCAUCACUGAUUAUGGAAACUGGAAGCAACUUGUUAGAUUUAAACCAUUUUUUGAGAAGGAGGUAACUAAAAAUAUUUUGAUACCACCUUUUUACAAAACCACUUUUUAACGUGCGUGCAUACUGCUUAGUAAUUUUCUACUUGAUAUUUGGCAUAUAUGUAAUUUCUUUAAUUGUGGCUUGAAUGUAAGAUUUUUAUUACUAACAUGUUGAGGGUAUCCACCUCUGACAUGAAUUUAUAUGUUGCCACUUUUCAUCAUCAGAUUAAACUUGUUGCAGUUGAUGUGAAAAGCAUCAUAUCUGCUACAUCUAUCCAUCGCUCUUUAAUUCCAUCAACCUACUAAGAUUUACUCAUAAAAAAACCAACGAGUAUUUUAGUAAUGUACUUGAUUAGUUCUUGGCAGAGUGUGAAAGUGAAUGUUAGAAGAGGAUUGUGCAAGUGCUAUUAAAUUUAAUAAAAGCUUGUUGAAAUCUCAAAAUUGAAACCUAGAUUGUAAGAACUAGAUCUGUUGUAAAGCAGAAGCAAUGAAACUGGACCUAGAAAGCAUUAGUAAAUUGAACGUAUAAAUCUCAAAGAUCCUCGAGGAAUUAGACUUAUAUUUCUUCACAGGUUGAAGGAUCCAACAUAUUAGCAGUAGAAUGGUCUCUGGUAGAAUUUAAGCAGAUACCAGAUAAAAUAUUUCAAAUUUUCUGUUUGAUUUUGACCUUAGUACCAGUAAACUCAUGUACUAACUUUAAAUGCCAGAUUCAGGAAAAAAGUCUUGGGAGUAAGGCUGCAGCUGUGUUGCUGGAGAAGUUGAAACCACCUUACUGGUUUUCUGCCCAUUUGCACUGUAAGUUUGCUGCUCUUGUUCAACAUGGUGAAGGCGGCCCCUUGACAAAAUUUCUUGCUCUCGACAAGUGUCUUCCUAGACGCCAAUUUUUACAGGUACUUUAUUUUUAUUUGAAUUUCUUAUGAAAAAUUAUUUGAAUUUCUUAAUAGUUAUUCAUAGGGUCCCUUUUUGGUCUUCGUGAUUUCAAAGCUUUAACUGUGGGCACGUGGUUUUUUAGGUUAUUGAGAUUGAAUCAGAGCCUGGACCUUACGAGAUACAUUAUGAUGAAGAAUGGUUAGCAAUAACACAAAGGUUCAAUGAAAUUUUCCCUUUAACAGCAAAAAAUGCAAAUUACGGGUGAGUAUGCUUUACAAGAACAUAUUUUGAAGAUCUGAUUGGACAAUACAACAUUUUUUUUCUUGUUUGUGGGCUAAUUGCAGUAUGAGUUGUAACCUCCAUUUUGCAAUAUCAGAAAUAUUAAGCUAGAAAUGGAAGAUUGUCGACAAUGGGUCAAAUCUAGAUUAAAAGAAAGAGGAACAAAACCUUUUGAUUUCGCUCAGACAGUUCCUUGUUAUGAUCCAGCAAGAUCUAUCUCCAACAGUACACUUGCUGGUAAUUUGAAUAUAUAUAUUUCAUUUGAGUUUUAUCUGUGUCAGUAGAAAAGUUUGGACGUCUACUUUCCCUUUAUAGGGGUAGAUAGUUUUUGGGGAUCAUGUUUGAGAAGUUUCAAUUGCUUGCCAAUUUUUUGCCAGAUGAUGAAUAGCUAAAGAACUUUGCAUCUUGUGUUCUUUGUCUAGUUCACUCUGCUAGUUACCAGGGAAAAUGGAUUUCGUUUUCAAUGUCUUGAUUGAAUCACUUGUUGUCUAUCACAGGAUAUCCUCGAAAUCCCCAGACUGAAUCUUUGCUGAAGUUUCUUGAACUCCCUUAUCUUCUUGAUGACAUGACAAAAUCUGAUGGGCCAUCAGGGAGUUCUAUUCCUUCAUCAGUCAGUGGUAAAUUAUUUAUCUUAUCCCUUGGUUCAUUUGAUGCUUGAUAACUUCUUAGAGUGAGUAGUUUUCUUCUGCUAUUGAUUUAUGUACUUAUCAUAGAUCCAUCUAGUCGUCGUUCAAAGUAAAUGAAACCAAGAACACUCGAGUAUCAUUCUAAUGGGAUGUAGUUGCUUCUCUGAAUUCCUCUAAGGCCUGUAGUACUGAAAAAAACUAAUCUAAUCCGGUGCCUUCCUAACGGGUGGAUGUGGAUUCCAUAAACUAAUGUCCUUGAUAACCACUGGACAUAAAUUUGAAGUACUAAUGGUAAAAGACUAUCAACCACAUUGUGGUGGUCUCACUGAAUAUUUUCUCGUAGUAUUGCGACCUUGGAUUUUGGUGUAUUGUAUCGGAUUACAUGUUGUAGAUUCACAAUUUUCAAAUAGAAAAUUCGUUCCAGCCCACAUAAUGAUAAGUUUUCUGUAAUAUUUAUGGAUGUAGGUUCGUUCUUUGAUAGUGAAGACAUUCCAAUUGAUGAUAUAGAUGAUGUGGAAGGUGAAACUGCCGAACCUGAAGACGCAUAAACCCUGAAUCUGAGCAAUGACACCAAAAUCUUCCUCAGUGAAUUAAGAUUUUACCAUUUACUUUAUGCUAAAAUUGUAUAGAAUGGGCUCUCUCUUCCCACUUAAUUAUAUAUAUCCCAUUUACAUAAACGCGAAGGGGUUGAGCCUUUCUUUACCAAACUCUUCUUAGAACACUUUUUAUUCACCCAGAGAGAGAGAUUGAUGAUCUGAUAUGUACAGAAUGAAAAUGAAAUUUUCUGUUCUACGAUAACUUUUAGGAAAGCCUUUUAUUUGCUUUCUCUUCGAUGAAACUUUCAUUUUUUUCAGAAUGUAUCCUAAUUUUUGGCCGAUUGUUUAAAAGUAUCAUGCUUUCUAGAGAAUUUUCAUUGUCAAGAAUUUUAACAUCUUUAAAUUGGAUUGUAUUUGCUAAGCUCUAAGGCAUGUGAUCUCUUUGAUUCAUAAAGAUGUAUUAUUAUUAUUAUUAUUUGAGAUGUCAAGUAGGAUGAUUCAAACUUAUAACCUCAAGUUAUAUUUAGAUCUUCAAGGUAGUUUCAACUUUUCCAAAAAUGUUAGUAAUUUUGAAGCAAUAACAAAAUUUAGGAGUAUUUUUCUAUACUUUUAACCUUGAAAAAUGAUUCCUAGAGGGAAUUCACAGUAAAAUAAUGUCUAAUUUUAAAAACUUUUAAAAAUUAGUAAAUGUGUAUAAAGGAAUGUAUUUUACACUUUUUGAACACAAAUUAAAGUGUUUGUAUUUAUAUUGUAUUUCUUAGAGAAAAGUGUUUUACUUUUCAAAUUUCAUCCCUAACAUUCGAAUUAAAAGACAUAUUUUAGUCAAUGAAGUUUGAGAAAUGUUUAGUUGAGUAAGUAAUUGAUACACAAAUUUUAUUACUUUCAUAUAAUUUUUUCGAUUAUAAAUUUUGUCAGUUGAGAAGAAGGGCUGGUCCGAUUGCUUUACAUCAUCGAUCCCAAGAACUCUUUGAUUCUUUUUGUCAAAAUUGGAUUCAUCAUUUUGUUCUUCAGAAUUCUUGAAUUGAAGGAUUGGUUCCGUUUCCAUUUCUGCUAUCAUAUCCUGUUUAGUUACCAUAUUCGUCCCCGUUUGACUCAGUUACGUUCUGUUUCUUUGCCUUUUGGAAUACAGAGUUUGGCUACCCAUGAAUGAGGCCAUUGUCAGCAGUUGGGACAUCAUUUCGAGCUUUGGCCAAUCUUUUGUUAAACCAUUCUCUGGCCGUCAAAUUGGGUACCAUUGCAGACGUUUACACUUGCAACAAUAUCCUCAAUGGGUAUUGGAAAUGCAAAGAGUUACGAUCUGCAGAUGUACUGUUCGACGAAAUGCCGAUGAGAGACUCUGUAUCAUGGAAUACGAUGAUCGCGGGGCAUAUAAACUGUGGAAACUUGGAGGCUUCAUGGGAUGUUCUUAGGUGCAUGAGAAGUUGUGGUUUUGAGCUGGAUAGAUAUACCUUUGGAAGCAUGCUGAAAGGCAUUGCUUUUGCUGGAAUGUUUCAUUUGGGUCAGCAAGUACAUUCUAUCAUCAUUAAGAUGGGUUAUGCUGAAAAUGUAUAUGCAGGGAGUGCUCUCUUAGAUAUGUAUGCAAAAUGUGAGAAACUUGAGGAUGCAUAUUUGUCGUUCUUAAGUAUAUCAAAACACAACACUGUUUCGUGGAAUGCAAUGAUUAAUGGAUAUGCUCAAGCCGGUGACCGUGAGACCGCAUUUUGGUUGUUAGAUUGCAUGGAGCAAGAAGGUGAGAAGGUUGAUGAUGGCACAUAUGCUCCUCUUUUGCCUUUGCUUGAUGAUGCUGACUUCUGUAACUUAACAAGCCAACUCCAUGGAAAAAUUAUAAAACAUGGAUUGGAACUUGUUAAUACAAUGUGUAAUGCCUUGAUCACUUCUUAUUCAAAAUGUGGAUCCCUUGAUGAUGCCAAAAGGAUUUUCGAUAGUUCGGCAGGCAUUCGGGAUUUAGUUACAUGGAACUCCUUGUUGGCUGCUUACCUGUUGCGUAGUCAGGAAGAUCUUGCUUUUAAACUCUUGAUUGACAUGCAAGAACAUGGUUUUGAACCAGACUUGUAUUCAUACACAAGCAUCAUCAGUGCUUGUUUUAACGAAAAUAUUAGCAAUAAUGGUAGAUCCUUACAUGGGUUGGUGAUAAAGAGAGGAUUUGAACAGUCGGUGCCAAUUUCAAAUGCAUUGAUUUCUAUGUAUCUUAAAUCAGACUAUGGCUCAAUGAAAGAAGCCCUAUGUAUAUUUGAAUCCUUGGAGUUUAAGGACCGUGUGUCUUGGAAUUCAAUCUUAACUGGAUUAUCACAAACGGGGUCGAGCGAAGAUGCAGUGAAGUCUUUUCUGCAUAUGAGAUCUGCAGCAAUGGACAUUGAUCACUAUUCCUUUUCUGCCGUACUCAGAUCAUGUUCAGAUUUGGCUACAUUUCAAUUGGGACAACAGAUUCAUGUCUUGGCACUUAAAUACGGUUUGGAGUCCAACGAGUUUGUUUCAAGUUCUUUAAUCUUCAUGUAUUCCAAGUGUGGAAUUAUUGAAGAUGCUAGAAGAUCAUUUGAAGAGGCUUCAAAGAACUCUUCAAUCACUUGGAAUGCACUUAUGUUUGGUUAUGCUCAACAUGGUCAGUGCAAUGUUGCAUUAGACCUCUUCUUUCUAAUGGAAGAAAAAAAGGUGAAAAUGGAUCACAUAACCUUCGUUGCAGUUCUGACCGCCUGUAGCCAUAUUGGUUUAGUAGAACAAGGCUGCAAAUUCCUGCGGUGUAUGGAAUCUGAUUAUGGCGUUCCUCCACGGAUGGAGCACUAUGCUUGUGCAGUUGAUCUAUACGGGCGUUCUGGACGUCUUGAAGAAGCCAAGGCCUUGAUUGAAGAAAUGCCAUUCAAACCAGACACCACCGUGUGGAAGACAUUCUUGGGCGCGUGCCGCUCUUGUGGCAACAUUGAGUUAGCUUGUCAGGUUGCAGGCCAUCUGCUAGAGAUGGAGCCUGAAGAGCAUUGCACUUAUGUUCUUCUCUCAAACAUGUAUGGAAAUUUAAUGAGAUGGGAUGAGAAGGCCAAAGUGAAAAGGCUAAUGAAGGAAAGAGGAGUUAAGAAAGUCCCUGGUUGGAGUUGGAUUGAAGUUAACAACAAUGUACAUGCUUUCAUUGCACAAGAUCAUUCUCAUCCCAGUUGCCAACAGAUCUACUUUUUGCUUGAAGUACUUUUGGAGGAAAUCACAAGAAUGGAAGAUGCUGAUGGUUUUAAGAGUUUUCUGGAGCAGGAAGAAUUAAGCUAUGCAAAUGCAUAAUUCGACCUUAUUAAGGACUUAGAAAGUGAAUUCAAACAAAUUGAUCUUGAUUAACAGGGGAGCGGAGCAGUGUUUCAAACACAAGUUUCGUUCUCUUGAGGCCAUGGAAGUUCAAAAGUAAAAGUGGGUUGGUUUAAGUUGAAUUUGGCCAACAAAAUUGACCGUUUUGAAAUGUUGAGUUGAUUAAAUUAAUGGAAGCCAACUUCAAAAUUGAAGUUGACUAACUGAUGCUUUAUAGUUUUAGAUGUUGUGAAACUAUACCGUGUUAUUUUAACUUAGAAGUAUAAUCUCAAACCGAUGAAAGUGAUUCAAUUUGUUUAGACUUAUUUGAUAUGAUAAUGAUUUACUCUGCCUUUCAAAUUUAUGUUUGUUGUUUUUAUAUUUUUAAACAAUUUUAGUUUUAGUGAAAUUCUAAGAGUAAAUGAAACACCUUCCAACUUUUUUCGAUAGUUUUCAAAAGCUGAUUUAGUUUUCAGUAUAAAAGAAACACGUGAUAAUUUCAUUUUUACCUUUUUUUUUUUUCUCUUUCAAAAUUUAUAUUUGUUUAUUUCUAAGUUUCUGUCAAAUGGGGCAUAGUAAUUUUCAUAAGCAUUUUAACUUCUCUGUUCUUAUAAUUAAAUAUCAUAAAUUCCACCGAAUUAAUUGAUCUUUUAUAUCUUAACUUUAUUGUUGUUAUUACUAUUAUUUAAAAAGAAAAAAGAAAAGAUUAACGUGGGUAUAGAGUCAAACAGCUUUAAAGAUAUAUACCUAAACCUAAACCAACAAACAAAUCCAUUAAACUAUACAUUUUUGACUUUAACAAUUUGAGACAAGAAAAAGCUGCUUGAAAAAUAACCCCAUAUAUUAAUAAUUAAUCAUAAGAAAACUUAGAACGUUGCAGUAUGUAUUAUGCUUAUCAUGACAUUGUAUUGAUUUGUCGAUCCAAACACAAUUUAAUAGAUAAACUACUUAACUAAUUAAGUGUUAACUCGAAAGUUUUUAGUUCCAUUCUCCAAGCUUCAUUUAUUAUUGAACUUCACGAAGGAUCCAUAAUUUUUAUUCGGAGAUUUAGAAUAGCCAAUGACCGAUUACUCAAUCAAACACAAAUUCAAAAUUUUGUUUAAAGACUAAACUACUAAUUUAGUCCUAAAAUUAAAUACAUAUUUAAUUGUGUUCUCAUGCUCAAUAUAAUUAAUAUAGUGAAGAAUUGUGUGGAGCAUUCUUGAAGAUAGUCAUUUCAAUAAUUAACAUAACUUUAUUUUAUACUAAUACAAUAAAAUAUUAGAAUCGAAGGCAUAAGGACCCAGAUCUAUGAUAAGUUCGUCCUUGGUUGAAAUCAACUUGAAUGUUAGAGUUGAAGAAGGCUUAAGAUCCCGACCUAUAUAUAUAGUAUUGAAUUAUUGUGUUCUAAUUUAGUAGUAACCUUCCCAAAAGAGAAUCUUCCCAAAAGAAGAUAUCAUAAAUUUUUGUCCUUCUGUGACAGUAACACACCAAACCAAACUUUUCAUUUAAAGCCCACAUUCAUAAACCAAACAUUCAUUACCAAUCAAUCAAUAGUUUAUAUACACUGUUCCCUUCAAGCUAGACUUCUUUGAACUACAGCCUACCAUUCAUAUUUUACAUUCAGUAUAUAGAUUCAUAUAAAUCAUGGUUUUAAUGAGGGAUAUAACUAAUAGUCUAUCUUAUCACAUUCAAUUGGCAAAUACAAAUCCUAUAAACUUGAAAAGAAAAACAUAUUGAACUAACAACCAAAAGAUAUGUAGUUGAUUCCCCUAAUAAGCAAACUUAGUCUCAAACAUCUUUACUACUUGUUACAGAAAUUUAACUUACUUGGAGAUAUUUUUGUUUUGUUUUUCAAUCUCUUAUGGGAUUUUAGAGAAUGAGUUCCACCCCGUUCUUGGCUCCAAAAACUUUGUUACCCAUAAAUCAUAUGAAUUCUAACUCAAUAUAUGUGGAGGAAAUUCUCCCAAAUAAAAUGAGGCUGUCAUGUGGAUGUAAUCUAAAGCCCACAUUUGGAGUGAAGGUUUUUUUGGCUUUAAUUUCUAAUACCAAACUCGUUUCCUUUUCACAUUUUUAACCCAACUCUCUUUUCCACCCAUUUUUUAGGAAUCCUAAUUACAUUUCAACCUAAUGAAUAGGCACUACUACACGAACAUCACUCCCCUAUUAAGGACUGAGAAGCUAACAUUUUUAACACUCAACAAGAAAACAUCAUGAUCAUCCACAAAGAAACAAAACAAAAUUACCCAAGAAGAAAGAGUUGAAAUUCUUUAUGGAAUGGCAAAGGCCAUGAAACGAAAACUAUCCCAAGAAGAAAGGGUUAAAAUUCUUUAUUCAAUGCUAAAGUUACAGAUAAAUGUUUAAAGAUGGACCAUAUCACUGUUGUUAGGCCCACAACAUACUCAACGUUCCAAUACACCUCAACUACCCCAUUCCAGAAACUGCCAACCGACGGAAAAUCGCCGCCGUUGCUGUCUCCGUCGCCGUCCCCACCACCAUAGACGGCAUUUAAACAGGCCAUUUGUAAUCAUACAAAUGUCUGGCAAACAGACUCUAAUGGAGGAACGUUAUUCCACCGCCCGUCUAAGAAUUAUAAUCAAACAAACUCUAUUGUAGAACAAAAACCUGUGGUGUGUGAUUUUGAAAGCAAGAUAUAAUUUCGAUUCAAUUUCAGAGAAAUUUCAAUUAGGCAAAUAAUCUCGAGCAUUUUCCAAUUAUUAUCUACAAUCAUGAAUCCGGCUAGUAACCUUCUAUAUUUUCCAUCUACGAAUCUAUCAUUUCAAGGCUGAAAGAAAUUUUACUCAUGAACUGAGCAAGACUCGGAAAUUUUACCGCCAAUUGAAUCGAAUCAGUUAUCGUCUUCGUCGCCAGGUUUGUGGUGAUUCACCUUUGCACAUGAUACUCCACGCGCCAAUGUCGGCGCCUCUACGACAGUCGCCGACGACAUCUCCAUCUGGCAAAUCCGGACGGCGCCGAACAGUCUUUCUGGCAACUCCUCCUCCGUCUGUCCCUCCACCAGAAAUCCCAUAUCUACUGUAACAUUAGUGACACAACCAAGCGCGAGAUGCAAAAUCGCACUGGCUAACUUUGAGCUUCCCAUAUCUACGUCAAUUUCCAAAUAGUUAGGCCCUCUGUGGUAAUUGCACGUCAAUGCCUUCCCUAACAAACACGCACUGUAAUUUCCUACCGCUUUCUUCACAAUCCAUGGACCUUUCACGAUCCGAUUCACCAAUUUCAACCGUUGAUUUCUGAAAGCAUCAUCGCCAUUGAUGAAUCGAUGAAGAAGCGAGCCAGACGGAAUUGGAUCUUCAGUAGCAAAGUAAAACACGGCACUAUACUGAUCCUUCCCAGGGACUUGAAUGUUAACCGCAAUAAUGAAGCUCUUCAUCGACUUACCUAGGGCUUGCGCUCUCCUCAAAGCUUGCGCAACUCGAUUAUCAGGACGAGCGAGAACGUUAUCAAGCUUGGUACUAGAUUUCAACCAAUCAACACCAACAGGAGAAAGUAAGUAAUCACCAGACGGCGCUUUCUUCCCUUUCGUCAAGUAGUUCUUAGAACGAAGACAAAAGAGAUCCCCAGGCGGUGAGGCCCAACCAUUAAUCCCUGUGUUCAGGUCGACAAGGCGUAAGGAACCACCAUCGAUCGUCUCCGAAAUCCAAUCCACCGUCGCAGUGGACUCUCCAUGUUCCGAACAGCUUUCGGCCGGUUCUCCUAUCAAGGUCCGGUGAUUUUGGUUUACCGUCGUGGGGCACAUGGCUUUUCUUCUUUCCCUUCUUACAAUCCUUCUCUCUCUCUCUCUCUAAUAUGGAGUGCUUCCUCUCCUUUUUAUCUCCGGUAGUGAGGGCUGGUAGUGAAAAGUCCAAAUAGGGCUACGGGAAUAAAUAAAUGACCCCCGCUUUCAGUUUAAUUACGUCAUUGCCAUUCUUAUUUUCAACGUAAUUAAUUGCAUAGUUUUUUUUUUAAUCAUCAUUAUUUAUGCGUGGCCUUUGCCGACUUUAUCAUAAUUCAAUGAAAUUAAAUAAGAAAAGAGAGACACGCUUUCUCUCUUUCUUUUUUCCGAUGCACGUGUGUAUUUAAGUCUCUUGAUCUCAAAAUCAAUCCAUUCCUUUAUUUUAAAUCAUUUGAUUUAUCAUCAUUAUUUUUUGGUACACACAAAUUAUUGUUUACUCCUCAUCUUAUAUUUAUGGUACAAUUUUACAUGUCAAUUUGAAAUAUAAUUUUGUACCCAAAACAUUUAUUAGAUUAAGAAUAUGACAAGUAGGGAAGAAUCUUAUCGAGCACGUGGAGAUGAUUUGUGUUCGGGUUUGUAUUUUUUUUAGUGGAUUUUAAUUAUGGGAAGGGAACUCACACGAUCUAUCCUAUCUACCAACUUUGAAGAUAUUGAAAUUUUGAUUGAUCUUUCAGAUCUUAAAGAUAGAAAAUCAUCAAAUUUUUUUAAGGUGUGGUGUUGAAAGUAAUUAAUAGUGUUGUUGUCUUGCAUGAAUCACUUUUCAAUUGAAUUUGUGAGCAUUGUGAUCUUGAUGGUUAGGCAAACUUAGUGGUUUCGUGGUGUGAUAUGUGUGGGAGUAUAUGAAUUUUCUUAGUUGUGGCAAUUCAUCGUUGGAUUUCUUCACUAACGUCAUGAGUAACAUUGUUUUUUUAUAAUGCAACUAAUCUAAGGUCUAGUUGGACUUGGCGAGAUCAUUAAAGAAAUAAUAGUUUGAUUUAAUUAGAUGCAAAGCGGUUGAACAAGAGGCAAUCAAGAUCGAUUUCUUGAUGUUAGCCCUUUUUACCCCUUAUUAGUGGAAUCUAAUUUUCUUGAGGUUAUUCAACUUUUAAAUAAAGAGAUUAAAAAUCUAGAGGUGUUAAAUUAGUAGUUCAUGAGAUUAUCGUUGAUUGAGACAAUAGUUAUGAAUAAUAAAUAAGACAAUAAUUAUGGAUGAUUUUCAUUAUAUUGAUCAACUCCUUCAUAUUUUAUAGGUCAUAUGAGUUUGUCAAUAGAACAAUAACGUUUGAGGAGAUUUAUAGACAAUAACACAAGAUUUUUUUAAUUUAAAUCUUUCUCCUUAUUGAGGAGGAGACCCGUUCUUUAACUGGGUAGGUUUCUUUCUCCAUUUUCUUCUAAGGCCAUGUAAAUGAUUAAUGACAAUAUAUAUAUAUAUAUACAACUUAUGAAUGUUGAUAAUUAAACCUUUUGAAUCCUUUACAAAAAAAAAUACAACAUUUGACUCUUCAUUGAGAUCAUCUAUAUUGGAGUCACUCCAUGACUUAAUUAAAAGACAGAUUCCAAAUUUUUGCAAAUAAUGAGAGUGGCAUGAUUACCAAAUUUUGUGGUGUGUAUAUAUAUAUAUAGUAAAAAUAGAUAUGUGAAAACCAAGUGCUUCAACUAGUUUUUUUAAUAUUUGCAAAACUAUCACAAAAGAAAAAGAAAAAAAAAAACAUAUUUUUUCAUACUGGGAAAGUUAAAUAAGAAAGGUAAAUUAUGAAAUAUGGUUUAAAAUGUUGUAAAUGAAAAAGAAAAGAAAAGAAGAUAGAAAGAAAAAUGGAGAAUGAAAACAAAUAGAGUUAAAGAAAGAAAGAAUGAUGAUACGACAAUAAUGGUCCACUUUUAUGAGUUGGAAAACGAAGAGGAUGCGUUGGAAAAUCACCCACCCACCGGCUCUGCCCUUUCUUUUUCCCUAAAAUACCCCAUUUGGGAUGGAUGGCUUUGGAUGCAAAUUCCACCAAAUGCUGGGGGUACAUUCGGAAAGUAAAGGAUUGAUCACACGGCCUCGAAAUUAACGAUGACGAUAGCGACACGUGGAAGGGAAAAGAAAAAGGGGGAGGGUGGGGAUAAGAAGUGGCAUUAAUGACGCACAUUUGAAAUCAGCUUGUUUGAGUAAAAUGGUCGAAAUCGGAAAUUCCACUUUACCCAUUUGGCCAUCAAUUCUACUUCCUCACUCAACUCAAUCUAAAAUCAUCUUCUAAAAAUUAAUCAAAUAAAUAUAUACUAUCCUAUUUUAGCCCUUUUAUUUUUUUCUCAUUACCUGAAAAUAAGGAUUUUCUAUAUAUAUAAGUUUUAAUAAUUAGCCUUAAAAGUAGUUGAAAUCUAUACAAUAAUACACAAUUUAAUUAAUGAUGUGUUAAAUAGCAAAUGAGUGGUGUAUAGAAAUAGAAAUUUUGUGUAGGGUGAAAGAAAUAAAUGGGUUGAUUGUUUUUAAAUUUUAAUAAUUAAAAUUAUGAUGGUCAAAACCUUGAGAUUAGGAAAACACAUGUAUUUUUAUUUCCAUAAGAAAACAAAUCAUUAAUUAUAAUUUAUUAGAAUUUAGAAAAAGAAAAACAUGUUAUUGGGAAUAGGUUGAGUUGCACAUUGAAUUUUGUAGCUUAAAAGACGAAAACACAACUUAUUAUAUAUUUAGUAAUUGUAAUUGUGUUUGUGUUUACAACUACCCUAUUGGUUAGUGACAUCUGUUGCCUCCCACUAACAAAACACACUUUUUAUAUAAUAAAAAAGUUAUAGUUCAAAGCUUUAAGAUUGGACUAUUUUGACUUCUUCAUUGGAUUUUGUAACUUUCUCCUUUAAAAUCCACAUUAUAUAUAUUAUAUCUAUUUACAAAAACUAUAAAAUUAUUAAAAAUAGUAAAUUUGAUAAAAUAUUUACAAAUUAAAGUAAAAUUUCAUAUUCUAUCGGUUAUUCUUCUAUCUGUCAUAUAUAUUUUAUACAUGGAUAUAAUAAAAAGAAAUUAUUAUAUCUUUAAAAUAUUUUAAUUUGUUUGGCUAUUUUCAAAAAGGUUUAUUUAAAAAUUUUACUUUAUGCAAUGGAUAAUAAGUUUUCUUGUAAAAUUUGUAUUUUAGUUAUUUAUUUUAUAUAUUUAUCUAGAAGUUAACGUUUAGUUGAGUUUUUAAACUUAUAAAGGUAAGCGUCAAGUACUUACUGUAGACAAUAAUUGAGUGUAUAACGUCGUUUAAUUUGAAAGAAUUAUUGAUUAGCAAAAACUAUUAGUCGAUAGAUUUGUAUAAACAAUAUAGUUUAUUAUUGACAACUAUGAUUUUUAUUUUGUACUGUGUUAUGCCUACAAAUAUUUUAACAUUAUUUACUAUAUUUAUAAACUAUCCCUAAAUGUAAUUAGAUAUUGUUAGAUAACACAAUAUUAAUUUACAAAAUCUUAGACAAAAUAUAUCAAAUUAUGAUUUAUUUUCUUUAUUUUCUUGAUUAAGUUUUUGUAUAAUUUGAGGACUAUUAUAAUUUUAUCAUAACUAUUAAUUAUAUAUAAAUUAUUUUAAAAUUAAUUUCGAGGAUCAAAUGUACCUCUUACUUGGAUUAAAAAAAUAUUUUUUCUAUUUUUAAUAACAUUGUAUAUUUUAAGACACAUAUUAUGAUGAAGAGAAUAGAGAUUAUAAUCCACAUAUCCACUUAUAGAUGAAGUUUGGACAUAAAUUAUGUUUAAUUCAUAGAGCUGCUUUUAGAAAACAAUUUAUAAAUACAAGAAAAAACUUAAUGCAUUAUUAAAAUAAUGAAAACAUAUAAAUCACGAAUAAUAAAGAAUCAAUUGACAUUGACUCAUAAUAUUUUAGAGUGUCGUUUUUUAUGCUAAGAUAUUUAUUUAUUGAUAUGACAUACAAUCAUGCAUACUUAUUAUUAUUAUACAAACUUUAUAAUCUAAUAAUCAUCCACAUAAAUAUUUGUGUGGCUUAUUGUUAAUAUACUUUUUAUGUCACAUAUACUAGAGAAGCAAGUUUGAUACAAUUAGUAGCUUUCAAACACAAACGUUUACAUUUCCCUUUCACGAUUAUGUCACCAAAAUAAGCCUUUAAUAUAUUUGGCAUGUCAUCAAAUUUUGGGGGAAAAAAAUUAAUGUAUUUUGAAUGGUCUAGAAAGUUGCAAUGUUUUCGUCUUUAACUUCCAAAUCAGUAUAUAUAAUUUAUAGCUUUUAAAAAGAAAACAAAAAAAGGUAUAUUUGUCAAAUCAAUCGUAAUUAGGUAUAAUACUAAUUAUACUAAUCAAUCUUUUGACCGUUGGUUGGGUUUCCAAAUUUUGCUUAUCUUUGCAAAAGUGAGAAGUGGGUGUUACUUUUGCAAACUCUUAAUAUACAUAUACUCAUAAGUUUGGACAUGUUAUUUCUUUUUUAAAUUAUUUCACUUGUGUUUAGGGUUAGAGAGUAGGGGUUGCGUGGGCGUGUGUGGGUCUAUUGGAAAAGAUUAGAGUAAAAGGUUUUACCUUUUUUCUCUGAUCUUCCAGAGUAAGCCAGACUAUGCUUUAAGACAAUGUCGAAAAGAGAUGAAUGGAAAAAACAAAAAGUAUAUCCAAUAUCUUCACGUGUUAAUUUUUCAUUCAUUCCCUUUCAAGUAUUUUUUCAUUCACAAAAUUGAAAGGCUGCAGUGCAUUGUUUGGUGUAAUAUAUUACAGAAACCAAUUUUUAUACCCAUUUUAAUUUCUCUCUUGCUUUCAUAAUGCUUUGCAGCAAUUAAGAGGAAUUGAGUUUCAUUUGUGUUUACUGCAAUUUAAUUCAGAAAUUACAAGCUUUUUACCAAUAAUAAUAGUAAUAAUAAAAUUGCCUUCUUUCUUUGACCACUCAAAUACUUAUUCAUAAUUCAAUUUCUUUUCUUUCACCACUCAAAUACUUAUUCAUAAUUCAAUUUCUUUUAUUAAUGGCAUGUUUUGAUUAUAGAUUUGAAGACGAAUUCCAUGGUUCUAAACAAGCGCAAUUAAAUGCAACCCACAUGAAAAGCAUUGAUUUAAGUACCGUGGCCUAAAACCUUGUUUUGAGAAAGUCACGUCACAUAACAGUUUAACUCAAUAUUUUAGAUCAAUCUAUCACAAUGCUCUCAAAGUGGUGAGUAGUUGCUCUAUUUUCUUCAACAAAAAAGCUCAACCAACAAAUCAACUGACAGUUCAAUCAGUUUAGUGAAAAGAAAAUAGCACUUCACAGGCUUACUCAUACUACCAAGAAUAAAAAUUAUCCUAAAGCACUCAGACCAUCAGAUGGCUAAAGAAAAAAAAAAUCACCAGAGUAAUAAUACCAAAAUAUGUUGAUGGUCUUGAAUAAGGUAACUCUAGCAAUGGAGAAUCGCCUAUCAAACAAACUAACAUGAAGAGAAAGGAUCAAUUGAUGUUAUAAGUCAUGGGAUCUGCCUUAGCUGGAAAAGCAAGAUUAUGACAACAUUGCAAAAAGUACAAGUAAGAUUGCUUGGACAGACAGCUAGAAUCCCUUUGUGAGAAAGAACCACAACCACAUUUUUAUAAAUCAAAUUUCUUACCACACAUUGCCUCUACUAAUGCCAAGGAAAAGUGAGAAAAUUAGAACAUAUUUCUUUCUUUUUUUCAAUGUAAAUGAGAUUCUUCUACCAGUUAUGUAUGAACUUUAACAUGUAAAUGGAGAAAGAAAUAUGCUAGUGUUGUUGAGGUAAAUGGUGCUUUGAAAGUGACAGCCUCUCAUUGAACAAACUAAAGGGACAAAUUUCUUCUUCUUUUUGUUUAACAGAAAAUAUAUAGUUUUAUUGACAAGAUGACAGAUUAUACUUUAGAAUAGGGUGACAACAAAAAUAUUUUUCAUGAUAUGGGCAUUCUUAAAUCUAUUUGAUAAUUAAAUUAAAAAGAUUUAGAUGAAAGAUAUUAAUGUAAUAAAAAAAUACACCGAGGUCCUAAUUUAAAAAUUAUUUUCUUAAAUAGGAAAGAUAAUAUUUUAGAGACAAUUAUAACUUUUAAUUCAUUAUUAAUUAUAUAAUAUAAAUAUUAAUUGGAUAUUAUAUUCAUAAGAUUAUUUUAAAAAUUACCUUAUUUAAAAUGAUUUGAAUUUAAUAUGAAUUCGAUAUUAUAUUCAUAAGAUUAUUUGAAAACUUACCUUAUUUAAAAUGAUUUGAAUUUAAUAUGAAUUCGAUCACUUCCAUACAUUUAUUUGAUUAAUUAGUAUGAUAAUAAAUUUCAAGUAUCUUUUAAAUUAAUUAUAAAUUAAAAUAUAUUAUAAUAUUUAUAAUUUUUUUUCUAAUUUGUAAUAAACUGUUUAUAUAUUCUUUCCAAAAUUAUAUCUUUAUUUAAUUCAAUCAUAAAAUUUGAACUUCUUAUUACAUUGUUUUCUCAAUUUGCAUUCAAAUUUCUCAUAACCGUAAGCUGUAAAAUCUUAAUAAGUAUGUACAAUUCUCCAUCACUUGAAUCUACGAUAAAGUCCACAGUAAAUCAUUUGUUCUUUUACCCAUUUAAAAUUAAAUAGUUAAACAAUAAAACUACCUGAUUAGUCUAUUCUUUUACCCAUUUAAAAUUAAAUAGUUAAACAAUAAAACUACCUGAUUAGUCUAUUCAGAGUAUAUUAUAUCGUAUAUAUUAACAAUAUACCCCUCAUUCUAAUGUUAUUAUGAUGAUUUUAUAAAUAUAUACCACAUAUUAUUUAUGAUUAUACUAGUUUUAUAAUAUUAUCACAUUAUAUAAUAGUUUGUAUAUGUGAUUUAUUAUAUACACACCACAUCUUAUUUAUAUUUAUAUUAAUUUUAUAUAUUACCCGUGAGAUAUAAUAUUUUUAGUUGAUGUUUUAUAUGAUGUAUAUCAUAUAUUAUUUACAAUUAUACUUUAUAAUAAUCUAUAACGAGAGUAUGUCUAAAAAAAGAUUACUUUUUUGCAUUUGCUCAACAACUAGAACAUUCAACAUAUACCCAAAGAAAUUUCCAGAUAUACCCAAUAUCCAUAUGAAAAACCCUCUCCUAAAAAAACUUCUCUUUAAUCUGAUACCUCAAUAAACCCUAGAAUAUAAUACAUGCAAAAUCACAUUUUUGAUUCGUUGCCUAUUCAGACUAAAAUCUUUAAUCUAUAUAAGAUACCAAAUGCAAACUGUGUAUAGAAUAUAUACAACCUAAUCAUGUAUCUUUCGACCGUCGGAAAACAGAUGAACUGGUCGGCCGUUUUAUAAAACCUUCACCAUCGAAAUCGCUUAAACGCUUCAACUUCACGGCUGAAAACCAAAAACUCGAAUCACUUACUUGACUGUCAAGAGGACAAUGAUUUAGUUGAAUAUGAAAAAUGAGAAAACUGUCAAAGAACUUUCCUAUUUUAAUGUUGCACGAUUUCCUUCCAUUUUCUAUAUUAAUAUAAUAUGUAUAUUGUGUGAAAAAACUACCUAAUGUGCAUAUAUGUAAAUUGAACAUAUUUUUGUGUAAUAUUGUAGCUCAUUUAGUACAUUUGUGUAAAAUUUGAUCAAUUUGUGUUUUUAUGGUAAAUUAAACUAUAUGAGCUAAAGACCCGUUAAAUUACAAAGCAGAUCUACGGUCAAAAUUACCGAAAAACAUUCUAGGCAUUAGACAACUUGAUUUGAAGACCCAUUAAUUUUCAAGAAAAGAUGAGCUGGAGAGAGAUAUUUUCACUAAGUGGAUGCUCUAGAGGAAAGGCAAAAUCAAAACCUAAAACCUUUAUAGUGUCUAGCCCGUUGGGCACAACAUGACUUUUCUCAAAGGAUAACCGUCUUUCCUUUUUUUACCUUUGGAAGUCAAGAAGACUUGAAGAAUAUUAAAUCUUAAAAUAGGUAAAUGCCAUGGCUUGAAAUCAUUUAUUUAUUAUUUUCAUGUCAAACUCCCAAAUUUAUCUCUAAUCCUAAGCUGUAUAAGCAAAAAGAAUACCACAAAAUGGUGAUCAUGAGUGAUGACAACUACGAGCACCCAUAUGAAGGAACACACCAUGGCUGGCGUUAGGUGUAAAUGCCUUGCUCCACCUUCUCCAUCAUUCAACAUUGCAGCCAAACAAUGUAUGGACUAUAUCUCAGGAAAGGUAUGGAUGACCAUACAAGUAAGUAUCCUGUUGAGGAUAAUGUCGAAUCAACUAUGAUGUUCACCUAACAGAUAAAGAAUACUUCACACGGGAAUACUUCAGUAGUUCCUUUCCUAACAGAUACACCAAGGAUAAUAGUUCACACACUUUACCCGGGAAAAUACUUAAGUAAAUCUAAGACACAUAUCUAAGGGAGAAAUAAAUCAAAUUCAUAUUAUGAUUCUAUCAAGCCUCAAUUGGUAUUUUUUUGAAACGGAAACAUGCCUCUUUAUUAAUGGUAAUGAGACUAAAGCUCAAAGUACAAGAGAGUUAUACCAAGAGCAAAAAAUACCAAAGGGAAAAUACAAGCUAAAACUAAAACAAAGACUAUACUCGGGUAACAUAAAAAUGAAAUCUAAAAAAACCCGAGCAGAAAAUAACAAGCUAAAAAAAAGCCACUCAAAGACAAUACAAACCUCAAUUGGUAUUGAUCCGGACAAUGAUCUGAUAGGAACUACUGAAGUAUUCUUUAUUGAAUUCACAGAAAAUGCUCGUAAGCAAGUUACAAAAACACUUCCACUCUAUCAAGAAACCCAUUACACACACUAAAACUUCCCUAUCCUCUUUCUGACCUUUCCCGAUAUUUAAACCACUUCCUACUAACUCUCACCUCUAACUAUCCUUGGAUCAUCAUUCAUACAACUGGAUGACUCCCCGACUUGCUAAUAACCAUCCAUGUGCCCCUUUUACCCUUGCGAACGUAAGGGUAUAUAAUAGAGGGCCCAACGUGAUCCUUCACUAAUUAUGGAGGCUUUAGGUAAAUGAGAUUGUGUUAUAAAACGUACAAUUUAGUUUAGUAUAAAACUAUAAGAACUCAUCACAUAAGAAGGAACACAUUCCUCCUUCAUACUUCACAUUUCUUCAUUGCUAGACUAGCCUGUUCGUUGAAAAUAUAUUUUCAUUCAUUAAGUAACACCACUACUUAAACUAAUAUUUAAAAAGCAACAAUCCACCCUAGGUGAUCUCAAGAAGAACGUAAAAGUCUAGCACAACAUCAUAUCGUCCUUUUAAUCUGAAAUUUACGUAGAGAAUUCUUCACUAUGUAUAAUACAAAUAGAGUCUGCAGACCGUCCAAGAAAGAGAAUCUGCAGUAGACAAUUUCAAUCAAAAUUUGACAAGUAACAGAAGUUUGACAUUAUUUGCUAACUAUGCUAGGAGAAAACUAAUGGAGCUCUUAGUCCACAGGGAGCAGCAGUAAUCCAUUUCUCCAUGGAACAAGAAGCAGAAUCAGUUACUCUUCAUGUGAGAAUGAAAGCAGGGUAUACGCUCCUAACUGUUUUCACAUUUUUCUCUAAGAGUUUUGAUGGCAAAAGUUUAUAUGUUCUGGCAAAACAGACUCUUCAAUAAUGGAUUUCAGUAGAGAAUUCCUUCGAUCCUUCCUUGAUCUGAUGAUUCUUUACCUAUCCUAAUGGAAGCAUGCUUCAAACGACAGCUUAAGACCUAUAACUUUACCUAGAGAAUUUUGAAAAAGUCCUAAAAGGCCAAGUUUUUUUCUCCAUAAAAUUAGUGAAAAUCAGCAAAUAACCAAGCAACACAAGAUAACGAAAACCAAACAAGAUAACACAUAUGUGAAUGGAUCACCUUCAAAUUUAUGAAUUGAAAACCAUACAAAUCAAAUUUGAUUUGCAAGAAACAUUCCAACAUUCUUGCAAUACCAAACAGAGAUUCUGAGAAUACACACUGACGGAUACUUACAGAGAAACAUCGUUAUAUGGCUUCUUUUUUAUGACUGCCUCAGUGACAUAAAUUAUAACAAAUAAUGAAUUAGGGUUCCACUAAAAUUUCUUCCAAGACCGAAUCGUAGUGUAACUCAGUGUGCCUUCCUCCUUGGAGGUUGUUUUUGAGUUGCUAACCUAUAAAUCCAAUAUACCUACAUAAAUUAAGUGGAAGUGAGCAAACAUGAAAGUACAGAAUUUGGAUACAAAUGCCCCAAAAUGAAACAAAAAUUAGAGUUAGAGAGUACCAAAGCGAAGAUGUGUGAUGCUAUGAGAAUAAGAAUAAUGAAAGGUAUUGUUUCGAGGGUCCAGGUUCCUGUCGAUUGUUGCUCGUUCGCCAUUGUCGCCAGAGAAAAAGCAGAAGCAGACGAAGAGAUUGAAGAAUGGAAGGAGGUAUAAACCCUAAAUCAAAGUUUUACAAAAUUGCAGUUCCGGAACGGUGCAGGGAAAUUUGGGGGCUAUCGUGACACGGGAAUGAAUUAAAUAUAUCUUUGUGUAAAUUUGUCACAUAUUUGCUCUAUAAACUCUACUUCCCAAAUUCAGCAUUUUUGUUUUAAGUAUAACCGAAUCAACUAAAAUCUAACAAAAACAAAUGCAAGUAGGUCUGUGGUUUGUUUGAUAACGUUCUCAUUUUAUGAAUGUGUUUGUUAUUUUUUAAGAAAAAAAUAUAGAAACAAAAAAUGUAUUUGAUAGUUGUUUUUUAUUUUCUAGUUUUUUAAAUUUAUUUCUUAUUUUAUUCACAUUUAAUUCAAUUAAACAUCAAACAAAAAUAUAUGUUCUCCAUUAAACAUAAGAAAAAUAUAUAUAUCAAACCUAGAUAGGAAUGUUUUGUUAUAAUCUUAUGGAGAAUGAGAUGAAGAGGAGGAUCGAAAACCCACGACAAAGAGAGAGACAAAAACUCACGACUAAAACACAAAUCUGACAAAAAUCCACAAAUUUGGCGAAAACACAAUUCAUGCAAAGAGGAAGAGAAAAACUCAUAUCCAGCUAAAAGGAAUACGUCAUGUAUAGGAAGACGAUAAGAGGCGAAGAGAAAGACAACGAAGACGAUGAGAGGAAGAUGAUGUUUAUUUGGAAAAGACAAUGGAGAUAAGAAGAAGAAGAAAAACAACGUGGAGAGUGGUUAUUUAUGGAAGAAAAUGAAAAUAAGAGGAAGAAAAAGAAAAUGACUACACGAAAAUGGAAAAGGAAAAUGAAAUAGAAAAAAGAAAGAAAAUGAAACCAACAGACAAAAAAAAGUAAAAAAAAAAUCAAUAAAAAGAAAUGAGAAAAAAGAAAAGAAAGUUGAUAGAAACAAUUAAGAAAAAUAAUUGAGAAAUGGGAACUUGAUAAACUACUUUUUUUUUCCAAUAAUUUAUUUUAAAUUAGAAACAUUUCUAUUUUUUCUAGAACGAGAAACUUGAAACGUCACCAAACACCUCCGUUUCUUAAAAAAUGAAAACAGAAAAACGAAAACAUUACCAAAUAGGCCCUAAACUUAUCUUUUAACAUUAAAUUCAACUUCUUUUUUUAAAAAAAGUAUGUAGUUUUUUUUAAAGGUUAUAUUCUCAACAUUAUCAUGUCGAUUAAUUUCUAUCGACAAAGCACUAGUGAAAAGCUUAAUAUGAAUGUUACACAACUAUCAUAUAGGUUUUAAGUUUGGGUUUAAUGCUUUUCCACCAUUUGGGUCAUGUUUGAUUAUUAGGCUUUAAGUUAAUUUGUCGAUGCAUUGAGAUUAAAGUUCUUGAAGUGAUGACUAUAAAUGAGGAUUGGAAAAGUAUUUUGUCCAUAAACAUCCAUGAUAUUAACGUAGAGUCAUUAAUCUACUUAAUGAUGGUAGUGUGAAUCAUAUCAAAGUAUAUUUUUUUCAUUAACGAGACAAACUCAUUUGUUUUAGACCUUGAUAUCGUUUGAUUCAUACGUGAGACGUUAUUACAAUUUUUUGGUACACUUGUUUACACAUUGAUUAGUGUAAAAGCUCUCAACUUCACUACCUUUUUCUUCUUACCCUGUGUGACUUAUUUUACAUAUAUUUAACUACUAGUGAUGUUUUGUAAUAUAUUUGUGGAUUGAUGGUUUUCAAAAUAAAAAAGUUUUGAAAUUACGAAUGAAUAUUUUCAAUAAAGUAAAUUAAAGUUUAAAUUCUCAUUCUAACCUCUUAAAAAUCAUAGCAAGUAAAUUCAAAGGUUUUUUUUUUCCAGCAGAGAGCAAAUUUCUUACUUUAACCUAAAUUAAAUUAAAGAGAAGCUGCCCUAUUUCAUUAUCACAUAACAAUUUGUUAGAGCUAAUUAUCUCAUUGCAUAACAAUUUAUUAAAAGAAGCUCAAGUAAAAAUGUCCCGAAGGUAUUUGGUGCUUGGAGGAGGCGCCAAGUAGACGCAAAACGUGGCAUUUUCUUGUUUCUUUACCCAAACCACCUUCCCCGUUUUCCUCUUCCUUCUCACACUCUUCUUCUCCAGCUGCAGGUUUCUUUCAAUUUUCUUCAUUCUCUCGAACAAUUGUUGGAACAGGAUGCAUCUCUAAUGGAUUCUCCAAUCUCUUCUUGCAUUUCUUCUUCUUUCUAGUCAUUAGCCGAUGAGGAAUGUCGUUGCGCGCCUCAACCGCCACCGCCUGCUCACUCCGCCAUACCCAAGUACUUUCUUCACUCUUACUUGCAUUUUCUAAUUCCUUUUGUUUCUGCGAUGUCUGCCUGGUGAUUCUUAAGAGAUGUAGUAUGGAAGUGAUAAAUCAAAUCACUCGAAAAUUCAAGUAGAGUAGAGGCGACGUUAGGAUUUUAGGAUCUUCGUUACUCUUACUCUUUUAUCGGUUAUUGAUACUUUUCUUGAUUUGAUUUGCGGGAGCUGCAUUUUGGACUUCGGUUGACGUAACUUUUUUGGACUUCUGUUGUUCUGGUACUCCGGAUUGAGUUUGGUGUACUAGCUAAUUUGAGGAGAUUGCGACGAGCUUAUAUAAUCUUGAACUAUAUUUUACCCCCAACACACCACUAAACAAACGGAACAGCCGCGAAUUGUGAAGCGUGAAAUGUGAAUUAAGAAUUAGGAUUUCGUUUUAAAAAAAAAAAAUCAGGCGCGUUACUUAAAUAGUUCAAUCAAUCAUAUCUGCUUGCAUUCUCAUAGACUCUGGUUUUACGAACGGGAUGUUUGGAUUUAAGAAUGACCUAUGAUAUCUAUUAACAGGAUUGUUGGGAUUUUGUUUGAGCUCAUUCGGCUGUUUUUGGUUCGAAUGUUUUUCUGAUUUUGUUUGUUCUAGAGUGGUUUUUAUGAUUUUGCCUACAAAAUUGUAGUUUAAACAUAAGGAUAUUUUCCCCCCUUUCAAAUAUGUAUGUGAAUCCAUGAUAAGCUGCUUUGUUCGAAUCAUGCUAUGGAGUCAUAGAACUAAGUUUAAAAAUAUAUGUAUGUUUGUUUGUUUGUUUGCUUGUAUGUUUUUUUUACUGAACUUAUAGCUAACCUAACUACUUUGUUCGAAAAUCCUAUCUUUCUCACAGCUUCUCAACUGUUUAACCAUCCAUGGACUGAGAUCGGUAUUUUUCUUUUUGGGAUUGAAUCGAUUUUUCUAGCCUUCGAGUGAAAAGAAUAGGAUUCCAGAUUGUUGUCCACAUGGGAUAACUUAUCCUCAAAACUUAUAUUUGUGAAAUGGUUUAUAUGCUCUAAUGUAAUAACUUCCAAGUGCAAAUAUAUUUUGGCAGGUUUAGGGAAGUGAAUUUGUCGAUCACGUUUAACUGUUAAAUGAAUCAAUUUUCAUCUGCCUUGAGGAUUGCCCCGUCAUUUCCAUUUCAUAUUCCAUGUAUUUUAGGACAUUACACUUCAAUUACAAUUUAUAAAUUCUGCAUUUUUGCUACGUUUGCAGAUUUGUGCCAUGUCAAUGAUUUUGGAAAAUGCAUAUCAUUGGGAUAUUUGCAAGAUAUUCAAGCUCUGAGGAGACGAGAUGUUUAUCUGUUGACAAACUUGUUUCACCAAAACUCGUGAGUGGAUGCUCAUAUUUGAGAAGGGACUCUUGUCUGAUAUAUAUAUAUAAAUUUUGCCAGGAUUUAUUAUUAUUUUUUUAACAGAAAUGAUUUCAUUGAUAAACGAAAUGAAGGAGGAAAAACUGCAAACACAUUAUUGCCAGGAAUUGUUCUCUCCUAAGUCCUAAUAUUUAUGUGCUUACUAUAGUCAUUUACUUAAGUAUUGUAUGCAGAUUUUCUACUGGCUAUUCAAGCGUACAUGGUGGAAGGCCAUCUGCAGAGUAUGCGAAGUUGAGGAAGCAAUUGCUGGAAAAUGAAUUUGGGCAUGCACUUGGAACUUACAGAUCCAAGAGACUUUCCUCUGUCUAUCACUUUGGCCCAUUUUUAGCGUUCUAUAGGGCAGCAAUUAUUUCAUUCCAUGUAUUGAAGCUAACCAUAUGGCAGUUCUUUGUUCAUGACUUAAAGAAGCGCGCCAUUAAGGUAUUUAUCUUACACAUCUACACAAAGAUUUGCAUCUGUGAAUAACCUUUUAGUAUAAUACUUAACAACUCAAUGAAGCUUUAUGGGUCUGGAGGUUGUUAUGUCUGUCCCAUUCCCUGUAUAUCGUUUGUGUAAAAGAUAUUGACUUUUUUGUUCCAUGUGCUUUUGAGUAAGAUGUUUGUGAUUGACUUAGUAAAGUGUUGUUUUUUCCCUGCAGUUUCGAGAAACACUAAUCAGAUUGGGACCUUUUUAUAUCAAGGCAAGUUUUUUCCCUUAAUUGGAAAUGUGGCCUCCAACUCUUGGAAUUGUGCCUUUUCUUUAGUCUUUUUUUAAUCAAUCAUAACCUAUGCGAAAGAGGUUGCAAAAGGUUUUAUCACUAUUUAUCUGUUGCUUGUUUUUUUUUAUGAAAAGGAGACAAGCUUCUUUAUUAUUAAUAAAGAAACUCAAUGUACAAGAGAUCUAUACAAUGAGAAUAAUAGGGAAGCCAAGAAAAGAGGGAGAGAAAGAGAGAAAGGAUCAGUAGGUGCACCCGGGCAUCUCAACUAGGUUGACACCCCAUAGCACCCUCAUCAUAUCCAAAAUACAAAGAAAAGACCAAAAUACAAGAACAAUACUAAGGUCAUGAAAAGACCAAAGUAACCACCUAAAUAACUACGAAAGCUACCUAUGGUAGACUAAAAGCAAGGCUGAAAGGAAAAACAAAACAGCAGAAAUACAUAUAAAACCCGUCCAAACUACAAAAGCACUAUUUCUGAACGGGCAAUCGAGGGAAACUACUUUGUAACUCAUCCGAUCAAUGCGGUCCAAUUGAGGCAGAUGUCUUGAAUGGAGUAAUCUUUGAAUUCUGCAUUCGAAGAACACCAAGUUGCUGCAUUUCUUUUAGAAAUCUCUACGAUGUCAGCCCAAUUCCUUUUUUUAUCAUGGAAGAUGCGUUGGUUACGUUCAAACCAAAUCUCAGCUAGAACCUCUUUUAUCAAAUUAACCCAAAUUAGAAAAGGUUUUUUUGAUAAAUAAGGCCCCCUCAGUAAUUGGCGCACAUUGGCGCUAAACGAACCAUCAAAGACCCAAACUGAUUUGAGCAUAGAAAAUAUGCUAAACCAACAAUUUGAUGAGAAGGGACAGAAAAUGAAUAGGUGAAUUAAUAGCUCACUGUUUUCCAAGCAAAGGGGGACACACUGAAGGCAGCAAAGACGUAUUGGGAAGCUUCCUUUGCAUAGUCUCGGAACAGUUUAAAGAACCCACUGCCAUAAUCCAAACCAGGACAUUUAUUCUCCUUGUGUUAAUAAUAUAUCAACUUUAAGGUUAAUUGAUGGUGAAAAGAGGCCAGAUGAAUUAAAUGUGAUUGUGCUUGAACUACAGCUUGGGCAGGCUUUGAGCACAAGGCCAGAUAUAUUGCCAACAGUGUAUUGCCAAGAACUUGCAAGGUUACAGGUCAGUUGGACACCAUAUGCAUUACAAAUAGUCUUUAGAGAUAAUUUUCUUCCCAACUACCUUCUUUCAGUCUAUGCUGAUAGUUUGAACUUUCUUUUUUAAAGGACAAGAUACCUCCAUUUCCAACUCUUCAAGCUAUCAAAUCUAUUGAGAACCAGUUGGGUCGUCCUGUUUCACAAAUUUUUGCUGAUAUUAGCCCAGAGCCCAUUGCAGCAGCAUCCUUGGGGCAGGUUUAUAAGGGUAAGUGACUUCCACUCUCCUGAAUGGAAAAUUUUCUCUUUUGUUUGAAAUUCUUCAGACAAUCUCUUCAUGUUCAUCCACGAGAUGAGUGUUCAGAUAUGAAUGUGAAAGUCUUGAAUCUUGAUGUAAGCUGAAGUUAUAUACCCAUUUUUUCUGCCUCAAGUCUUGCAGCUCACCUGCAUUCUGGGGAGCUUGUAGCUGUCAAAGUACAAAGGCCUGGGAUGUCUCUUUCACUGACUCUGGAUGCCUUGUUGUUCCAGAUGAUUGGUGGCCAGCUAAAACGAUUUGCCAAGGCCCGGAAAGAUUUAUUAGUAGCUGUUAAUGAAAUGGUGAGCCUGUGCAUACUUUUUAUUUGUUAGAACUGAUCGUUUUUUCCAUUUGUGGCUUUCUUGCUUGUAAGUUAUUUAUUACCUUUAAGAGGGAUUCUUUUUCCCCAUUUUGUGGUUAUUUCAGUUGUGAAUAUCUCCGAAAAGUAUCCGAAAAUGUCAAUAUAUAUCAUAUAUUUUAAAUUUAAGAUGUUGGAUGUUUGAAAUCAGUUUUCUUGGAUCAUGUUCGAAAUUAUCUUCAGCAUAUUUCAAGAUUUGUGAGCUUCAGUAACUUUGUUAUUAUUGUAAAAAAAUAUUUUGGUGCCAUGAAACCCCAAACAAUUUUCCAAGAGUAUUCAAGUCUUCUUGCAUGAUCUAUAAUGGCCAAUAUUACUUCUCAAUAACACUGAGAGGUGUUGAGUUCUCUCAAAGAUUGGGGGCAUGCUUCCUUGGCCUCUUGUCACACUCUCUCUCUCUUUUGUUAUAUAUAUUUUGUCAAUUGCCUGGCUUGUUGUUCACAUUCAAUUCUUUCUGCAAAUGAACAGGUUAGGCACAUGUUUGAUGAAAUCAAUUAUAUUCAAGAAGGGAAAAAUGCUGAGCGUUUUUGUUCUCUCUAUGGAUGUCAACCAUGUAAGUGCUAAGGUAUUCUGAUUAUGUCCUAAGAAUACUACUACUUCCAUAUACUGAAGCCAAUAUCCAUUGUGAACCGUACUUUUCUGUUUGAAGAUCAUCUUUUGCUAAACCAUUUGAAGUCUGAUAACUGACUGGCAUUUGUAUGAUUUUCUUCAUAACAAUGAAGUAGGCGACAGUGGGAAGAGUUAUGCAGUUGAUGGCUCUGUUAACUACAAGAAAUCAAACUGUGUUAAAGUCCCCAAAAUAUAUUGGGACUUCACUCGAACAGCUGUGCUUACCAUGGAAUGGAUUGAUGGAAUAAAGCUUACUGAUGAAGUUGGCUUGGAAAAGGCUCAUUUGAAUAGAAGGGAGCUCAUUGACCAGGUAUUAUACAGAAAUUGUUCGUCUAUUUCUUGUUUCUCUUUCCAAUCUUUUAUAUUAGCUUUAUUGUUAAUGUAAUAAGUUUUUUACAAAUAAAAAAUGGAAAAAAGAUAUGAAAGCUUUUUUUCUCAUCAGGCAGCUGUGUCCAUUCUCUAUCGUGUUCUUGUGUUUCUUGAAGUAGGCUAUUUACAUAAAAUUUAAUGUAUGCCAUUUUAUAAGUAUUAUCCACUAUUCUCUUGUAGGGAUUGUACUGCUCUUUGAGGCAACUGCUUGAGGUGGGUUUUUUCCAUGCUGAUCCACAUCCAGGGAACCUUGUUGCUACUGAAAAUGGCUCUCUUGCAUAUUUUGACUUUGGGAUGAUGGGUGAUAUCCCUCGGCAUUAUCGCGUUGGACUGAUUCAAGUGGUAAGGAAAUACUAUGCAGCUUUAGUAACUUAUUCCUCUGUUCAAUAAGUUGACUGUUUAGGCUUACCACUGAUUUGAAGAAGCAUUUGGUAGAAUGGGGUAUAAUUUUCACAUGUUACCAUCUGUUUAACUUCUCUUAUUUCCAGCCCCUGGCACGAACUAGAUAUAUUGCAUGCAAGUUGGGAUGUUUAUCGUCCAUAUGAUGCUUAGAGAUUUGUGAAAACAUGAAACGUGGUGGGAGAAACAAUAUCCUUCCCCCACACUCCCAACAAAAAAAAUGGAGAGAGGGAGAGGGGUGGAAAACUUUUGUUGGGAAAUUUAAAACGAGAUUGAAAAAUACCCUUAGUUCUUGUAUUUUAGUUGGUAAAGAUAUCGUCUGUAAACUUUAUAAUUGGUAACUUUUUAGUCUCUAAUGGGAAAAGCAUUGUUACGAUUUAAUGAGAUUUAUUACUUGUAUAGAUUGAAUAAGUAAUGAGAGUUCAUUAAUAAAUUAGAGAGAUUGUGUCAUUAUGUUACAAAAACUGACCCUUAAAAAGUGAAAGUAGGCCUGUAUGAUAACCAUUUUGUUCUUUCUCUUAGUUUCUGAAAAUUUUUAUUUUUACUUUUUUUUUUUUUUUUAAUUUUAAUUUUUGCAACUUCUUUAUAGCUUUCAUCAUUCCUAACAAAAUAUUUGAAAUUUUAGCUAAAUUCUAAAUGUAAAAAAGUUUCAAACUUUGGCUUUGCUUUUUAAAACACUCCUAAAAAGUGGAUAACAAAACAAAAAAUAUCAAUAUAGGGGAGAUAGUGUUUAUAAGCUUAAUUUUUAAAAACAAAAAAAUCAAAUGGUCAUCAAAUGGGCUUAAAUGGUUACAAACUAAAGUUUAUGGAUUAAAUUGUAGAUUCACAAAAAAUCAGGACCAAAAUGUUUUUUCAACCCCAAAAUAAACUCCAAGAGACACUAGCAUGGAUAUUGUCCACAACGUAAUAUUGGUAAUUCCCCUAUUGUUUGAAUUUCCAUCAUUGUUGAAUGGUCUAAAGUUGCUUAAUACUGGUCUAGGCUGCACAUAACUUUCUUGUCAAAACUCAUUUUUACAUAUUCAGUGGGUCUUCCCUUCUCCAUAUGCAUGUUUGUCAAUAAAAAUAUAUUUGUUACAACAUUUAAUGUUGAAUAAUGUUGUUCUCCAUUAUCUGGUUGGAUUUAUUGUUUUUCUUUCACGUCAUUUUUACUUUUUGUUUCCAGUCCUCAUUUUCUAAGUUUGAUGCAAAAUAUGGUAGGAAUGUCAGAAAACCAGUUAAAAGUUUAUUUUCUUUCAGCUGGUGCACUUUGUAAAUCGUGACUCACUUGGUUUGGCCAAUGAUUUUCUUUCUUUGGGAUUCAUUCCUGAAGGGGUUGAUAUACGAUUAGUUUCUGAUGCACUAAAUGCAUCAUUUGGCGAUGGGAGAAAACAAUCACUGGAUUUUCAGGUUCGUUCUUAUUUCUGAACUUUAAUUUCCAUUUACUAUCUCAAAAGAAAAAAGAAAACAAAAAUCCUUUUGAUCUGCGGACCAUGUUUAAAGCUGAAGACUCUUCUGCGUGCAAACUGGCAUGGAUUUUAGGGAGUGAUGAACCAGCUAUACAAUGUGAUGUAUGAAUUUGAUUUCUCCCUUCCUCCGGACUAUGCCUUGGUCAUAAGAGCGUUAGGGUCACUUGAAGGCACUGCAAAAGUCCUUGAUCCUGAAUUCAAGGUCUUAGAAAGUGCAUAUCCUUUUGUCAUUGGGAGGCUUUUGGAAGAUCCAAACCCUGAUAUGAGAAGAAUUUUAAGGGAACUCCUCAUCCGAAAUGAUGGAUCCAUUAGGUGGAAUCGGCUUGAACGCUUAGUAAGUUCUUCCUCUUAUUUCUCUAUCACGUAGCAAGUACUUUGUCUUUGGAAAAGAAUGUACCAGUGAUGAUUAUAUACGCAAAUACUUGGCUUUCUUUUCUUUGUUUUGUUUGUUGCAAGAGGUCUGCCAGCUUUCUUUAUUUGUAUCUUAGCAAAAAAAAUAAAAAUUGUUACAGGUUGCAGCCAUUUCUGAACAGGCUUCCGAGCCAAGUGAGGAAUCCCUCAAGGAAAAUUUUUCGAAUCCCCUAGGAUGGAAAUCAUUUGACAUGCCAGCAGUUGUUGCAGCAACUGAAGAUCUUUUUCUUUUCAUUCUCUCUAAGAAAGGUUCAAGGGUUCGAGUUUUCCUCCUCCGCGACAUCAUUGCAACAGUUGACAUUGUUCUGCAGGAUGAAGUUUUUGGGUGCUCAUCCGAUGAGAAGCGUCAGACAAGAUCUGAGGUUUGUUCAACUCAACUUCUACAUAUUUGCUUCAAAUAAUAUCCUUACAAACCAAAGCAUUCUCGAAGUCGGAACAAAUUUGUUAGGGUGAUGGACAAUUUGGUGUAAUUUUGUUUGUAGGAUCAUGCUAUGCUGGAAAGAGUUGUUCACGGGUUUCAGUGCCUCUGUCAAGCAAUAAAGUUAGCACCACAAGUGUGGACGGCUAUGCUCAUUCGCAUGGCACUAAAGCCUGAGGUUCAUAGUUUCUCUCUGGACGUCAUUUCAAGCGUCAUGAUGCAUUUUGGAAAAAAAAUUCCCGACCAUCUUUGGAUUUGUAUUUCACGAUUCCUUCAUGACUUAGAGAAAGACUACAGUUCUAACAAAGUAUGAGGAAAGUAAACUGCUUCUCUUUCUCUUUUAAACAACUCUUUCUUUCUCUUUAUAUAGAACACAUUUUAAAGAAAUCAAUGAUAGUCAGCUAGUUUAGCUCUUAAGGAAGAUGUCCUAUCCUAAGCCCUUGACUGUUUAUCUUCUAAAGCUGAUAGUUUCGAUUGGAUUUUGCCCCAAUUGAAUUUGGAGCAAACUUUUAGUUUUAUUAGAUUUUAGUACUCAGCAGUUGAAUUAUUACCAUUGUAAAUGGGUUAGCAAAAUUCUAGCUUUAUUUGUCCAUGCUCGAUAGGUGACUUCUAAGUUUAGGAGGAUGAAAAUAAUCAUUUUAUUAAUCAAAUUCUUGUUUUUAUAAUCUUAUAGAGUAUCCUAUCUACUACUUUAUUUACAAUUAUUUUAGACUGGUACCCCCACCACGUUUGGAGAAACCAUAUCUUUUAACAUGUGCCUAUGAGUACAUUGUGCUCAGGCAUAGGGAUGGUGAGAUGGGUCUUCCUUGAGGAUUUUUUUUUUCUUUUGGUGGGAAAGUAUUUUUAGUCUCCUAAGUGUGUAACAAAUUGGUUUGGUAUAAAGGGGUGUUGGACGCCCGUAAUGGGAUUGAAAUGUAUAUGAUGUAAUCCAAGAUUUGUGUUCGGAUGGAGCGUUUCAAAAUACUAAAUUUACUAUCUUUUGGCAGUUUUCACUUCACUUUCCACGAUUUCAUUUUUUGUUCUGCACUCCAUUCGACACUCAUUUCAAAGUUUCUUUAAUUCUCAGUAAUCUUUUUAUAUUUGUGUCGAGUUUAUUUAUCUUAUUUUAUUAUUUAUUUUAGAACUUCACUUUUGAGUUUAUCGAUAUUUGAGGGAGUCAUUUGGUCCAAAUAACUAAAAUUCAAUAGUAAAUCAGUAAAGUGUUUGUAUUAACUUUUUCUUUUCAUUUUUUCAUUUUUACAUUUUUACAUUUAUCUACCAACUUUAUCUUUUUCUCUCUCUUUAAUUCUCUUACUUAUUAAGCAAUUUUGCUUUCUUCAAUUAGAUCUAAUUUUUUUUCAAUUAUUGAGGAACUCUUUUCAAACCUUACAUCUCAGCCAUAAACUUACGUAACUCCAUAUAAACAUACUAACCUCAACACGGUGGAGACGAACACUUGGUUCAUUUUGGACGUGCAUGACAAUAUUUGUUAUCCUUUUACUUUCUACUUGCAAUAAUUUAAAUUUAAAUUAUCCCAAUUUUUUAUUGGGUGACUUUCUUGAUAGUUUCUUUCCUACUUUGAUGACAUUUGUUUGGAGAAUAUUUUUAUUUGGGUGUCUAAGCUGAUUUUAAUUGGCUAACAAAUUAUAUUUACAACUAGAUUUCAUUUGAGCUUCUUUCUUUUUUCGGGGGGUUAUCUCAAUUGACUUGCCAUGCUCUCCCUCAUCUUUUUAAGUAACAGCAGUCAGCGAAUUGAGGGGAAAGAUAAUCCUUGUAGCCUUGCAAUAUUUAUAACAAAAGACAAACUAGAUAGAAGAACGCAACACUUCCAAAUUUGGUAGAAAUUUUCUUUCUAUAAAUAAGUAAGCAAGGAAAUUUGGGGCAAUCCUAAUUGCUUCCUUUACCAAUAAAACUGUUCUCAUGGCAUCUCAUCUUCUUCUCUGAACAAAAGGGCCCCACUUUAUGGUAAGAUUAAAGCAAAAGUUAUAGCCAGUCUAUACAAUAUAAUUGUGAGGAGGACUUUAAGAAGUGACCAAACAAAAUGUGUUUGUCUAUCUCAUUAAAUCAAUGUGUCUCCUUUGCAGCUCAUCACAUUCAAAGUCGCAUCAAAAUCAUAAUUGUGGAGUUCAUUAAAAAGUAAAACAUUUAUUAGUAGUUGAAUCUUUUGGUAUUCAUUUAUAUGGGAUGUUUGAAUAUCUAUAACUACGUUUCAAACAAUCCUAAUUUAUUGAGAUUUAAUUGAUUAGAUAAUUAAUCCUUCCUUAUGGUGAAGUUCUUGCUAAUUUGGACAAAUUAUCUUUUCUUGAACGAUAAGUAACAAAUGUCGUAGUUAAGUUGGGAUAAUCAUUAUAUGACACAUUAAUGUGUUAUUCUUUAUUGGUGAUGAUGUUUAAUUCUUGAUUUUUUUGUUAUCUUUCUUUUAAAUAGAUCACUUAGAAAACAUAGUGACUUUCUUUUUAAUAUUAACUUAAUAUUAUAAUUUUAGAUAAUUUGUUGAGACUAUUUAACUUAUUAUUACUAAGCUUCUAACCUUAACAUCAACAAUAAACUAAAAUCAAGAUAUCAUGUAAGAUUAAGACAAAAUUGAAAGUUCAACGUACAUGUAUACAAUCAUUAACACUUAAAUUACAAGUUAAGAUAAUUCAAUUAAAAAUGAAGCUAUACACAUAAUUUAUACCUUCAUAUAACACAAAAUAAUAGCAAAGAUUCCAAGGAGAGCAUAUGAGAACCAUACAUGUAUGAUUUACAAACACAGCAAUCUCAACCAAUCAAUAGAUGCUGGAAUUUCAACCAAACGAAAGGCCCUACCUUCGAAUAUUUUAAGCAAUUGGAUAUUCAUCAGCUCAUCAACGUUACAAGUGGCCAGCAUUAGAAUAUUAAAAUCAAACUUACCCAACACAACAAACGAUGGCCUUUUGAUAUUUUAAUGAGAAUAAAAUAUAUAUAUUCAAACCAAACAACAUGAGACUUAAAUCAGUUCACCAAUUGGAAAUUAGAAAUUGAUACACUUUGCUCUAAAAAGCAAAACAAAAAAUAUAACAACUAAUGCUGCUUGCUUCAACAAAAUCACAAUCUAAAAUUUAAAAUUAAGAUGAAGAAAAGAAAAGGGAUUUCGAAAAGAAAGAUUUUCGUUACCGGAGAAGAAAAAGAAAGGCAAAAGAUUUAAUGCUACAAAAAAAAAAAGAGAGAAGAGUGUACAUGAUCCAACGGUCAGAUAUCGUCGAUCAAAACCUCCUUUUCCGACUAUUUCUUCUUCUUUUUCUUUCUUCAUAUUUACACAAACAUUUUUUUUUUAUAUAUAAUUACUAUUAUUAUUUUUUUUUAUAUAAAAUGAUAAUGAAAACUUAGAACGAAGGAACGACGCCGUAUCCACUCACUCGAUCAACAUCAAGUUCGAUGUCAGUCCGUUUGGCGAACCGUCCUUUGAUUCGCGGUCUCGUCUCAGCGUAAGCUUUACGAGAUGCGUAUCGGAUCGUCUUCUCGAACUUUCUAUUCUUCCUCUUCUCUCUGUACCUUAACACUCUCGCUUCCCGAUCCGCCGGCGAGAUUUGCAGCGGUUGAACAGACGAUUCUGUGGAAGGUUUCGUGUACGGAUUUGAUACAUCUGUCAUUGCGUUCCCGUCCGGCACCACUCCGACCUCGAUCGAAGAGGAUGAUACCUGAUGGUAAAGAAAAGGUGAGAUGAGAUCGAUGUUUCAGAUUCAUUUGUAUUAGUUACUGGAUUUUGAUGUUUGGAUGAGAAAUUGAUUGGAAGGUAAUGACUUACACUGUGACUGAUUGACUGAGGGUUAUGACCGUACGGGAACGAUUUGGUGCCGGUGAAGUCUAUACCAAGGCAACGAUCGUUUGCUGAUGAGAGAUGAACUCCUUUGCUUUGAACAGGAACAACUCCAUCGGCACCGGAGCUAUUCUGCUCUUGCGCUUCUAAUUUCGGAUCUACAUGGCUGUAAUCCAGAUCUAGGUAAGGAUCCAUUUCUGGAAACUCAAACUUGCCUGAGUUCAGAUCUGAACUUUCUAUUGCCUUCGGGUUAGGGUUGGGAAGAAGCCAGGAAGCAGCUUCGGCUUCUUCUCUACUAACAUCGGCGGCAUCAGCGUCGACAUCGGAGAAGUAACGGUCGUCGAGGAAGUUGAUUGCAGCGCUAGGUUUAACAGGGAGUGAGUUGUCAGAGUUGGAUGUGUCGUAGAAAGGCGUAACUGGAACACGUUCAUGACGACGUGCGAGCGGAUUAGCAGAGUGAAUAUCGUGGUCGCAAGUGAGGCAGAGAGCGGCAGCGUCAGCCUUACAGGUUACAUGAGCCGGAGCUUGCUCACAGACUUCACAAACCCAAACACGAGCAUGGCGAGAGGCAAGCUUGUUGGCUGCGUGAACUUUGGAGUCACAGCCAAGACAAAGGAAAGCAGAGUCAGCACGGCAGAAGAGAGUGGCUGUUGCGGACUUACACGAGUCACAAAGCUUGGAAGCCAUGCUUCAAUGGUGGAAAACUCAAAAUGGUAUGUAAUGUCUCUCUCUCUCUCUCUCACUUCUUCUUCUUUGGUUCUAUACUAUUCUUUUGGUUAAUCAUGUGUGUACGAGUCUAUCCGGUGGGGCCAACGAAAUCCAGUCAUGAACGAAUGAAAAUGGAACACGUGGGUGAACCUUAGCCAUAGAAACCAAAAAUAUUUAUCGCCUUCAGUGAAGGGGGAAAUUAAUAAAUAUUUAGGGGGUUGAAAAAUAUUUUUCUUUCUUCUUUACAACACGAGGCUAGUGAAGGAUAAAGUUAAGAAAUGGGUCCACGUGAGAUGAACGAUGUGAGGUUGUCAACUUCUUCUUUCCCCCUCCGGACUUCAUGUGAGAGUUGGACGUUUCAAUUCAACUUCUUCUUCUUCUUCUUUUUCUGCUUAAUAAUUCAAAACACUGACGAUACAUCGUGUGGUACAUAACAAGAGCUUUGUUUUAUUCAAUUUCAUAAGUGUAACAACAGUUUUUCAUGUGUCAAAUUAUGAUUGUUUUUCUUAGUAUAACCUCAAAAAAUUACAAUAUGAUCUUUUUCUAAUGAGUUUAAUAAUUCAUAGCACCACUCAUCAAAUUGAAGAGUUUUUUCUAAUUGAAUAAUUAUAGAGAUGGAAGAUUGAAAAAAAAAAAAAAGUUAGAACUUAGUAGAGUUGGAAAAGGCUUUAAGGUGUGUAAUAAUGAUGGUGGGACCUAUUUUCUCUAGAGACUUCUGUUGGCCCAAAACAUCGGCCCAAUUCUUGAUUUUCCUUGCUGGUCUCGGCCCAUUUAUAAUGUAAACAUGUUGGACUUCACUUGUGAUGUCCACCCUUGAAAUCUUUUUUUCUUUUUUUCAAAUAGGGAAUAUUUCCACUCUCUUAGAAGUUAGAAUAAAUGGGUUAUUUACUUUCAAUAUAAAUAGUUUUUUUAAAAUACAUAUAUUUUUUUAAUAAAUUAACUUUAGUAUUUCAUUUUAAAGUAUAUUUUAAAUCUAAUAUUCCAGUCAAAACUCAAGAGUAUUUGUUUUUUACUUUUUUUUUUUUUUUAUGCCUUAAUUUUUAAGAUUUGAUGAUCAAGUAUUCGAGUAAAAAAGUAAUGCUCUAGAAAAACAAAAAAAUGAUUUUCUACUUUGCAUUUUUUUAUAAAUAGUUUUUAGAAGUAUUUUUAGCCGCACAAAAAAUAUGCUCUAUCAUAACUUAUUUAGACAUAGGAUUUAAUCAAAUCUCUUUUCUGUAUUCUCUAGUUUUAGUGAAAUAAAUUUACGAAGGAACAUGAGAGGAAUGGCCUUAAGUUCUACCAACAAAACACUGUUAAAUUAAUAAAGAUGGUUAAGUUUUCAAUUGAUAUCAAAGGUUUAUAUCUCCGUCCCCAUAUGUUGCUAACACACCAAAAUAAAAAUAAAAAAAAAUCAUGCUCUAAGCAAUGUGUUUUAUUCUAUUUUACAAUUUACAAUAUAUAUUAUCAAAUAUAUUUAAUCUAUACUUGAGAUUUCAAUCGAGAGGUGAUGAGUUUUUUAGUUAUGAAUAUAAAAUAAAUUAAUCGUAAUUUCAUAAAAUGAAGAAGAUAUAUAUUUAAAUAUCCUACGUAUAUGAAUAUUAACUAAAAUUACCGAAAUUAGAUAUUUCAUAAUUUUAUUGAUUAGAGAUAUUGUAAUCAAUGCCAUUCAGAAAACCCUUAUAUAAUAUAAUAAACAAUAAAUUCAAAAUUGAAAGAUGAUAUAUUAUUAAAAUUUAGUACGUAUGUGCAAUAUUUGAUUAUAAUACGUUAAUUGUCCAAAUCUUUCUUAUUAAUUACCUGAUAUAUUAUACACUAAUACUCUACAUAUAAAGAAGAAGAAAAAAAAACAAAAUCUCACUUUUGUCAAAUGCACAAACCAACACUUAGAAUAGAAAGAAAAUUAAACAAAACAUUUGGGCUUUGACUGUGGAGGGAAAUCAUUCUCCCUCUUAUAGGGAUUAUUUUAAUUGAAUAGAAUGUCAAAUUAUAGAUUAAUUUUAAUUUGAGUAAUUAAGCAUAAAUUUGUUAAUUGUUUUUAGUACACAAGAGAUGAAUAAUCGAACUCGGUGUCAUCUUUCUUAAAAGAAGGUUGUUUCAAAUUUCAUUUUAUGAAAAAGUAUACGUUUUACUAUAUUUAAAAAUGGUAAAAAGAUUAAUAUUCUCACAUUGGGAAAUAUGUUAAUCAAUAUGAAUAUAAUACACACAGCAAUUAGAUGUGCAAACAGGUAGUCUUUGAUUCCUUGUUCUUCCUUCCAAUACCACAAGUUUAUUUUAUGCACCAUAUUUCAAUCUAACAUAAAAUUGUAAUUUUGACUAUGAAAUCAUAUGUUCGAUUCUUUUUAACUUAGUAUAUGGUUGAAAAAAAGUUUAUAUUCCUAUUUUAUCUCGCUUAAUAACAUAUUUUACCGGUGAAUUAUACAUACUUGUUGUUUAGUAUAUACGUAAUUGUUACCUUAACUACACAUAAUUGUUACCUCAACUUUGAAGUUUGGAGCUUUAAUUCUUUAUCUAAUGAAGCAAUAAACUUUUUAUUUUGAGCCUAUUAGGUCUACUUAAUUGAUCUAUUAAAUCUAUAUUUCAACUUUGUCCACUAGGAUGCUAAGAUUUUAAAUUUUUACUAAUUGUCUUUUUUUUUUUUUCCAAAAGAUUAGAAUUGUAACUUUUGAAAGUUGGAUGUAAUAUAAGAAAACCUUUAAAUUUAAGAAUUGAAUUUUUAUAUUUAACGUUAACUAUGAUAUUUGAAUUAUUCGUUAAGAUAUUCUAUUAUGGACUAAAAAGUUACUUAUUCAAAAUUUUACUCUCAUGCGUCAAACUAAAAAUUAAAUAAAUUUAUUACAUAAAGUCUGAAGGUAUGUUUGGAAGUGAUUCCAAUACUGUUAAAAUCAAUUUUAAUGAUGUGAUUUGUCUCUAAAAGUAUAUGAUAAAAAAUGUUUGAAAGUGAUUUUAAACGUGGUAAUUGAUUUAAUAACUGUAAUUAUGAAAACAUUAAAAUGUAUUUGUAGAAAUUGAAUUAAAAUAAUUGUAACACCUCAUUUAAUAUGCUCUUGUAACUUUUCUUUUCUUUUCUUUUCUUUUCUUUUUCUUUUUCUUUCUUUUUUUUUUUUUUUGGAGGAAAUUCUCUCUUAGUUAUUAGUUUGUGGAAAAGAAAAGAAAAUGAUAUUUUGUCAAAAAAAAAAGGCACAUAUUACCGAAUAAAGUUAUUUGAUUUCUCUCUAUACGAAUUCCAUUUGCUGACUUUUUCAACUUUUUGGGCUUUUUUUAAAACGGUUUGAGCCCAUUCUCCAUCCUUAACUUAGUCUUCAAAUUUUACACUCUUUUAAUCUAAUUAAAUUAUACAAUAUAUAUAUAUAUACACGGUGGAAAAUUGAACUCAACACUUCUUGUUCAUAAGUGCAUACAAGUGUCAAUAAAGCUAAGAUUAUGUUGGCUAAUAAAUUUCUAUUAUUGUCUAUCAAUGUCAACAAUAAAAACAUAUAUAAGUGUCUAACAUGGAUUUAGUCUGAUAUGACACACACUGAUAUUUUGUAAAGAUUUUGUCAAAUUUUUUUACUUUUGAGAACUCAUUUAUAAAAAUAUCAUCAAAUCUUUAAAAAUAUAUAUAUAAAAAAAACAUUAUUAAAUUUCUAAAAGAAAGGUUCAAAUACACUUCAUUAUUGGUAUAGAAACAUAAGUUGAAAAUUUGUAAUAGUUAGUACAGGAACAUAAAAUGUAACUUUUUGUUUGCUAUUGUUGAGUGAAGGGAUUGAUCAUUCGUACUUACUUGAUGCUGAUUGAGCUGUAUUUGUUUUAACAAUCAAUAACAUUUAGAGUUUCUUAGUUAACCAUACUUAAAACCUAAUUCACCCGAGUUUAGAAUUGUUUAAAUGUGUUAUAUGAUGUAAUGAGACAAUAAAUUACGUAAAACAUUGCUAUUAAGUUGUGGACUACAAACUCUUUAUGCCAAAUAUUUAUUUAUUUUCAUUCUGUAAACUAUUUUUCUUUCAAAUUUUUAAAAAGUUGAAUAAAAACACAAUUACAUCUUACAUGACAAUAAUUUUCUUAACUAACAUGUUUAAAUCAAAUAAUUAUAUUAAACUACCAUUAAUCACAAAACUUUUAAAGUAAUUCAACUGAAGAUUAGAAGCUAUUUUGUUAAUCUUCAAAAGCAUUGGAGAGUUCAAACCAAAAUGAUUGAAAAUAAUGAGUUUUGGGGUAAUAAUUAAUAAACAGUAAGCAUUAAGCAACACGGCGACGUAUCACCACACAAAUACUAUUCUAAAAGUUUUAGUCUCCAUCCACUAAAAUCAAGACGCGUGUCCCCUUCCUUUAUCUUUUACUGUUGAAUUUCCUUCCAUUUGAAUGUCAGUUGACUCGCCGGUACGGUCACCGGUGAAACAAAAACGUCACCGUUUACUUAUUUAUACUUUGAUUGGAGGAAGGCACAUCGCCACAUCGGCUGUUUGAUAAAGAAUAUAUUUCCUUCAGUCAUUUUCUUUGCUUUACUUUUUAACAAAUAAGUUAUUAUUAUUAUUUUCUUAAAUUAAUAAACCUAAAAAAUAUCCAUACAUUUAUAAUAAAUUAUAACUCUUGAAAGUGACUUAAUUAACAAUACCCUCUUGUGGGAAAAAAAAAAAAAGGAAAUUGUUCCCUAAAUAUUAAAUACUGUUUAUUUUAACAUAUCAAAAUCAUUUUAUUCUCUAAUCUAACAGAAACAAGAAAAGAAAAAACAUUUUAUUCUGUUUUAUGUUAUCUUUCAAUAUAAAUAAUAAUAAGGUUUGGGAAUCUGAUUUUUAUAAAUUAAUGCGUUAAUAAAACACCAUUAUUUCGUCCAUAUUUUAAAAGAUAAUAAAUGUUUUCUUGCAUAUACUUUUCUUUUCUUUAGUUCAAAAGUAAGAACAAAUGUUAUAUAUUUAAAUUUCUAAAAAAAUUAAAAAACGGAAUAAGUUUAAGAUAUAUAAAUGAUAAAAUAUGACCCGAUAAGAAUAUAAAAGGUCAAGCUUAACAUAAUGAUAACAAGCUAAGUAUUAUCACAAUGUUGAUCUUAGAUUAAGUUUUUUUUAAAAAAAUUGUGCUUGAACUCUAUCAUUUAUUUCAAAAAAUACUCAUGGAACUAACAUUAUUAUAGUAUAAAUUAUUUUGAAUUUUGAACAAAAAUUGUUUGAUAGUGAUUUAAAAAGAAAAUUUAGAUCAUCACAUCGUCUUAGAUCAUCAACGCACAUCAUUUUAAAUCUCAAUUUUUGUUAUAAUGCAGUCAUGAUCUUGAGUGCAUUUUUGCCCUUAAACAAAAUUAGUAUUUUAAGAGACAACCACAUCUUAUAAAUUUCAUACAUUUUGCUAAUUUUUUGUCGCUUUAAACAUUUAAUAAUUCAAUUGAGCAUUAAUUAAAUUCAAAAUUUGUGCAAAUUUUGAUUCUUCUGCAUAAAUUGUUGAGGGUUUAUAUUGUUUGACUAUAUAUAUAUAUAGCAGCAGGUAACUUAGUCAAAUAUUGAAUAUUGUGAAAAUUAAAGCAUUUGACUAAAUUGAAAGUGCAAUUUAAUUAAAAUUGAAAAAACAAAAUAAACCCAUAAAUAAGAUUAGAAGCAUUAUUUAUUGAUUAAAAAUAAAUAAAUAAUACUAUAAAAUAAAAUAAAAUAAAAAUGGACUGAAUAACUUUACUUUAAAUAGUUUUAGAAAGAAAAAGGAAAAAGGAAAAAACUUUAACGAAAACAGAACCAUUAGAAAAACAAAAAGGGCCGAUGUGAUUUAAUUUUAAAAAUUAUACCAUUUUAAUUAUUUUACAUAUAAGCAAUAGUUUAGAUGUAAGUGUUCAUACUCCAUAUUUAUCGAUUUCAUCUUAAUUAUACUCUAAAUGAAGAUUAAAAAGUGUUUUUGUAGAUGAUAUUUUUCUUAGAAAAAGAAAAUAACAAAGAGAAAAAAAGUGUGAAAUGGAAAAAGCUUUCUUUUUUCUAUUUUACAUUCAUAAAUUUUACACACACAAAGGGAUGGGAAAAGAAAAGGUUAGAAAUGAAAGUUUUCAUUUUUCAACUUUAAACAAAACUCAAUCGCAAAUAUUAUAAUUAUUAUCACAUAACUCUCCAUUUUAUCUCUCCAAAAUUUUAAUUUACAUUUCUCGUUACAUCAAAGAACAAAAUUACAUAGAAACACCCAUAUCCAUAUCCAAAAUUGGAAAAUUUGGUUUAAAAAAAAUAACCAAAAGAAAGAAAAAAGAAGAAGAAGAAGAAGAAGAAGAAGAAGAGGAUGAUUAUUAGUAAAGCUUCACUCAGCUUCUUGUUGUUGUUGUUCUUGAUGAUGUUGCUCUUGAUGCUGUUGUUCUUGAUUUUGAUGGUGACCCAUUUCUUUAGUCUUCUCACAAUUAUCACAACCCAUCUCAUCAUUUUUUUGAACAAAAUGAUCAAAGUUAGCGGAAGAAAGAUUGUGAGAGUUUUGGGAAAGGGAAGAGAAUCUGGGAGUGGUCACCGGCGUGGCCAAGAAAGUGGGAUUUUGAUCUCCGGCCAUAAUCACCAAAAUCUUCUCUUCAAAAAUCUUAUUGGUUUGGUGUUGCUUAAUUUUCUCUUCCUCCAGUUCCCCAAUGUUUGCGCUCUCUAAAUCUCUGUUGUCUCCGUCUCUUUCCUCGGAUUGGAUGGAGAGCUUCCAGUAGGAGCAAGCGAGAAUGAGGAGGGCGAAGGCGAUCAGACCAAGCAUGGCUGCCAGUCCCCCGAACAAGUAGGGCACGGGGGAGUGCCAGGGGGUCCGCUGUGAUGCUGCAGGGGGCUCCGGUGUGUUUAUGGGGGAUGCAGCUGAGACUAUAUUUCUCAUUUCGUCUAAAGAAUGCUUUGGAUGAAUUUUUGUUUGUUUGUUUUGAGGGUGUGAAACAGAGAAAGCAGAGAAAUGGUAUUUAUAGGCCACAAAAGUUAAAAAAGCUAAGGCAGCGGGAGUUUUUUUCUUCUUCUUUUUAUUUUACAUAAUAUAUCACUUUUUCUCUCUAAAUUUUAAUUGAUAAUAAUUUUGAACCCAUAUUUUAUUUAUUUAUUUAUUUUUAUAUAUAUUUUUUUAAAAAAAUAUAUAGAAAUGUCCGAAUAUUUGACCAUAGAACUAUUUCGAAAACGGAAAAAAAUCACAUGUCAUAUAUUUUUUUAUACGAUUUUAUGUUUAAAUUUGACCACCUACAUUAAAAUUUUUUUUUUCAAAAUUUAUGAGUUUAGAUUUGAAUAUUUGCUAGACAAUCGUUAUGCAAAUUUAAAUGAUUUUCUUAGAAAUUGAUGGUAAAUAAUUGUUUAGCUUUUCCUAUUUUCGGUAUACGAUUAUUUAUUAAA
rnacentral:lncRNA from 1 species